rnacentral:lncRNA from 1 species
AGAAACCUGGCUGUGAAACUUUAAGGAAUAAUGGUGUUUAUAGCACCAUCGAACUAAACACCAUAGGAAAAAAGGCCGGAAACAAAUCCAGACAAAGCUUCAGUGAACGUCUUGCAUGGUGAUGACUCUUGGAGUCUUAGUGACAAAGGGAACCGAUGAGAUAAGGAUUCAAGGCGGCUCGUGGUCGAAAGAGGUGAGGCAGAAGCUGGUCGGAGAGAUGAUAAAGGCCAUCGGAAAAGAAUAACGUGAAGAUUCUAGAGAGAAGUAGGUGAGAAAAAAACAAAAUAGAGAGAGAAAGAGAGAGACUAGUCUCGAAGAGUGAGGGGUCAGGGGGUAGGUGGUAGUUUAAAUUAGGAAAAGUGAUAUGGGUCGUUGAUCUUAUUUGAUCAACUGCUCAGAUUAAUUCAGAGAUGGGCUGGGUUAGCUUAGAGAUUGGGCUGGAGCGAAUUUAGUUGGGUCUUAGGUCAAGAUGGGGUGGGGUUAAAUUGGGGCUAAUAUUGAAACAAUAAUGGGCUAUGUGUUAAAUAGCCAAUUUUCUCCUUUUAUUUUAUGUAAAAUAGUUCACAUGAUUUUAAAAAUAAAUUAAAAACACUGAACUAAUUAACAAUAUAUAAAUAUUAAUCUAACAAUACUAGAAAAGAUUUUAUAAUUGUAAAUUAUUGUUAAUUGUAAUAUAGGCUAUAAUUGCAAUUACAUGCAAUUGCUUAAAAAAUACCAACCAAAUUUGUAAGAAUAUGCAAAAAUUAGCUUAAUUAUAUGUUAGUAUAAAUAUGAGAAUGGAAAUAAAUUAUUCACCAAAAAAUUAUAAUCUGAGAAUAAUUACUAGGAUUUGUAUUGAUAAAAUAGACAAUAAAUUAAUUUUAAAAAUCUUAAAAAUUGGGAAAAAAUACCAAAACUCUUGGGCAUGCUUAUAUAUCAAUACACAAGUUAUUUUAAGAGUAUUUUGAGUAUAAAAAAUACAUAGAAAAAAUUGGGUAUCAACAGUGUCUCACUUUUGGGUGCUCCUAUCUUGUUUAUGAAGAAAAAAGGAUGGUGCCUAUGUGUAUGUGCAUUGAUUAUUGCUAGUUGAAAAAAGUCAUAGAGAAGAACCUAUAUCCGUUGCCUCGUAUUGAUGACAUAUUUGAUCAUUUAUAGGGUUCCCAAGUGUUUUCUAAGAUUGACUUGCAUUUAUGUUAUCAUCAGUUGAGGAUUCUUGAGCCAGAUAUCAUGAAAACUACCUUUAGGACUCGGCAUGGUGAUUAUGAAUUCCUUUUUAUGUCACUUAGGCUGAAAAAUUCUCCGCCAACAUUUAUGCAAUUGAUGCAUAGUGUGUUCAAGCCAUAUCUUGACACGUUCAUCAUUUUCUCUAUUGAUGACAUUUCGGUGUAUUCCCGGAGUAGGGAGGAUUAUGAACAACACCAGAGGACAAUGCUUCAAACCUUGAGAGUAAAGAAAUUAUAUGCAAAGUUCUCGAAUUGUGAGUUCUGGUUAGAUUCUAUGGCAUUCUUGGGUCACAUAGUAUCGAGUGAAAGGAUCAAUGUGCAUUCGAUGAGAGUGGAAGUAGUGCAGAGUUGGCGCAGACCAUCCUCAACUAUAGAAGUCCAUAGUUUUCUUAUCUUGAUGAGUUAUUAUUGUCGAUUUAUUAAGGUUUUUUCAUUAAUUGUAGCACCAACGACCAGACUAACCCAGAAAGCCGCUAUGUUAAGGUGGACGAAAGAGUGUGAGGAAAGCUUUCAAAAGCUCAAGACAACUAUAACUACAACACUAGUAUUUAUAUUGCCUAUAGGUUCGGGCUUUUAUACUGUCUAUUGUGAUGCUGGAGAAUUGGCCAUAGAGAAGUAUUGAUGCAGGAUGGUAGGGCGAUUGCCUACGUGUCCAAAUAGAUAAAGGUGCAUGAGAAGAACUAUCAUAUCCAUGAUCUCGAGUUAGCUGCUUUUUUCACGCAUUGAAGAUCUAGCGUCAUUAUUUGUAAAUUGUUCCUUGUGAGAUCUAUAACGAUCAACGGAGUUUACAAUAUCUGUUAAAGACGAAGGACCUUAAUUUGUGUCAAAUAAGGUUGUUAGAGCUUCUUAAGGAUUACGAUGUCACUAUUUUGUACCACCCAGUGAAGGCUAAUGUGGUGGCCGACGCUUGAGUCGCCAGGUGAAGAGUUUGUCUUAUCUACCAGCAGCAAAGAGGCCCAUGACAAUGGAUGUUCAGGCUUAGCCAGCCUGUUUGUGAGAUUUAAUAUUUCGGAGCCUAGUCGGGUCCUAGGUUGUAUGGUUUCUAGGUCUUCUUUAUUUGAUUGUAUCAGAGAGCGUCAUCAUGAUAACCCUAAUUUGCUUGUCCUCAAGAACAAGGUUCUGCAUGGUGAUUUCAGAGAUGUGACCAUUGGUGAUGACGGGGUAUUGAGAAUAUAGGGUCAGAUAUGUUUACCCCAUGGUGAUGGACUUCGGGAGUUGAUAUUGUAGGAGGCUCAUCGUUCACAAUAUUCCAUCCCUCUAGGUGUCGCAAAGAUGUAUCAGGAUUUGAGGUAAUACUAUAGUGGAGAAGGAUGAAAAAAGAUAUAUUUGGGUUUGUAUCUCGGUGCCACAAUUGUCAGUAGUUUAAGUAUGAGCACAAGAGACUGGGUGUCUUGCUUCAAAUUAUAAAAAUUUUGGAGUGGAAGUAGGAGCAGAUCACCAUAGACUUCGUAGUUGGACUCCCACAGACUUUGAGGAAGUUCGAUGCCAUUUAGAUAAUUGUGGAUCAGUUGACCAAGUCAAUGCACUUCAUUCUUGUGUGUACUACCUCUUCUUCAAAGGGGUUGGCUGAGAUUUGCAUUCGAGAGAUUGUUCGCCUGCAUGGUAUUCCAGUUGCCAUCAUUUUUGAUAGAGGUACUUAGUUCACAUCACGGUUUUGGAGAGCUAUUCAACAUGAGUUGAAUACUCAGGUAGAGUUGAGCACAAUAUUUCACCCCUAUACGGACGGACAAUCCAAGCGCACUAUUCAUAUUCUUGAGGAUAUGCUCCGUGCAUGUUUGAUAGAUUUUGGAGGUUCUUGGUAUCGGUUCUUGCCACUUACAGAGUUUGCCUACAUCACUUACAAGUGAAACAUUCAUAUGGCUCCAUAGAAGGCUCUGUAUGGUAGGCGAUGUAGAUCCCUGAUGGGUUUGUUUGAGCAGGGUGAGGCCAGAUUAUUGGGCACAGAUUUGGUUCAGGAAGCUUUAGAGAAGGUUAAGGUGAUUCAAGAUAGACUCUGCACAACCUAGUCCAGACAGAAGAAUUAUACGGAUCGUAUGGUUUGUGAUGUUUAAUUUAUGGUUGGAAAGCAGGUCUUGCUUCAGGUUUCACCUAUGAAGGGUGUUAUGAGAUUUGGGAAGAAGGGAAAAUUGAGCCCAAGAUUUAUUGGCCUUUGAGGUAUUACGACUUAUUGGGAAGGAUGCUUAUAAGCUUGCCUUACCUCCCAGCUUGACAGCAGAUCAUCCAAUAUUUCAUUUUUAGAUGCUCCGGACGUAUCACGGUGAUCCGUCACACGUGUAGAUUUUAGUUCAGUCCAAUUGGACAAGGAUCUAUAUUAUGUUGAGGAGAAAAUGUCUAUAUUAGACAGGUAGGUUCAAAAUAUGAGGUCAAAGUGUAUUCCAUCAGUAAAAGUUUAGUGGCGGGGUCAGUUGGUCAAGGAGGCAACUUGGUAGACUGAGCAAGAUAUGCACAACAGUUACCCUCAUAUUUUCAAAGCUUCAGGUAUGUCUUUAUGCUCGUUUGAGGAUGAACGAAUGUUUUAAGAGGGGCGGAUCUAACAACCCAACUAGUCAUUUUGAGAAUUAAUGCUCUAAUCCUCUAUUUACUGCUUCCCUAGUGUCUAUUUGUGUUAUUGUGAAAUGCCAGCAUGGUUCAUCUUGAGUUUCGGGGUGUUCUGAGAUACUUAGUCCUUAAUGAGAAACUAAGUCUUAGAAUUUGGACCGUAGUAGUGGUACUGUGAAGCCGGCUCUGGAAUGGAAUUCUAUCAAUGUUUUUAGAUCUAUUGAGUGACUUCGGGCUUAAAGGCAUUCCUGGAUUGUGUAUUAGAGGUUCGUAGCUUAUUUAGGCUUGAAAUAACGAAAGUUGAAUUUUUGGAGUUGCGGGAUGAUAAUGGAAAUUUUGAUAUCGGGGUCGGAAUCCAAUUUUUGAUGUGGUAAUAGGUCCAUAGUGUUGAAUAUAAUGUGUGCAAAAUUUGGGAUCAAUCAGACGUGUUAUGGUUGGUUUCUGUAUCGGAUGUAAAAUUUUGAAAAUUCAAGUCCUUUAGGUUAGGAUUGGAGGGUGAUUCAUGGUUUUAGCAUUGUUUGUUAUGAUUUGAGGUCUCGACUAAGUUCGUAUGAUGUAUUAGGAUUGGUUGGUAUGUUUGGUUGAGGUCCUGGGGGCCUAGGGUAUGUUUCAGAUGCUCAAUGGGUCAUUUUGGACAUAGCGAAAUGGCAAGUUUUUUGGUAUUUUUUUGCAGAGAAAUCGUUCAUGGCGUUCGUGAGAGGGGUCUCGCAUUUGUGUGUAGCAUCUGGGAGAGGCAACUAUGUUGUACUUCGCAUUCACGAUGAUGCUCCACAUUCGCGAAGGUGAGGACCAUUUAGCCUACGGUUCGCGACAAGGUCCUUGCAUUCAUGAAGGUAUUCUAGUGUAAGCUACGUGUUGCGAGAUGACCCUAGCGUUUGUGAAAGAGGAGUUUGGGCUAGUGGGAUUUUUCUCAUCACGUUCGCGAUGGUAGUCUCGUGUUCGCUAAGAAUGACGCAUCUGGGCAGAAUUUAAAAAUUCAAAAUUGAUGGUUUGUAUUCAUAAUUUAAAAAAUUGAUUGAGAGGUUGAUAGAAAGCUAAUUGGGGAGAUUUUCGGAGUAAGUUUGUGGGUAUGUUUGGUUGAUCUAAGCAUAAUUUCAUCAUUCCAUUUCAGAUUUGGGGUGAAGUAUUGGGAAAAUUAGAGAAAAGUUCUUAGGCCGAUUUUUGGGAUUUUGAUCAAGAUUAUGCUAUUGGAUUUGGGUGAAUUUGGUACGGUUAGACUCGUGAGUGAAUAACUAUUCAUAAUUAGCGUCAUUACCUGAUUCUAUUUGGGCUCGGGGAGGAUUUUUGGGAAUUUUCCUAUUUCAUACCUUUGCUUUGAAUUAAUUAGUUAAACUAGUUGCUGGUAGUUUCAUUUACUUUAUGUAAUUAAUUUGAUUAUAUUUGGGCAACUCAGAGUUUGAUACUCGUGGCAAGAUGUAACGACCCCAUAUACCGGUCAUGAUGGCGCCUAUCACAUUACUAGACUAGCCAACCAGUCAACUCACCACAACUCUUUUCCUUUAGUAAGAAACCAUUUCCAACACAUGUUUUAAAUACCAAUAUCAUGAUAACAUUUAAAAGAACAGAAAAAUAUGCGGAAAAUCAUAAAUGACAGAAAACUACACAAUCCAUAAUUCAGUGUCACGAGUCUAUAGCCUCUAAUACAAGUAUGAAAAUCUACUACAUAAGUAGUCUAGAAAUGUGCGGAAAGUUAACAAGAUACAUGGUAAAAAUAAGGGCUGUGAAUGCCAUGCAACUACCUCGAAAUAACUAGCAGAAACCGAAUUAGCUGAAUAUGCUCACUCGAUUGCUCGGGCACCUGGAUCUGCAUACAAGGUGCAGGGAGUAACGUGAAUACGCCAACUCAGUAAGAAACUAAAGUAAAUAAUUGACUAAUAGUAGUAAUGAUCAGUUCAAAACAUAUAACUUUAAAAUCAGUUCCGUCAUGCAAAAUCAUCAUUUCCAAUUUAAAACAUUGAAAUCAAAUACUGAGCAAUAUUUUCAACAUAGGCUUAUGUAAAGAAAAGUGAAAUAGUUAAAACAACAAAACAGGGCCCCUCGUGUAAGGAAUCACUCAAAAUAUGGCCCUUCGGGCAGCCUCUCAGUAACUCAUGACUCAACUCUCAUUAUAAAGUACUCACUCUCAGCACUCGACUCAUUCAUAAUAUCAUAAUAUCAGAAAUCAUAGGAACUGAUGUGGCAUACAUCCUGAUCUACAUAUUUAUAGUCGACUACACUCACUAAGGCUGUGCAGACUCCGGUGGGGCUCCUAAAGCCCAAGCGUCAUAUCAUUGCGCGGCAUGCAACCCGAUACAUACAAGUAUUGUUUUAGCGUCCACUCCGAUCCAUAACUCACAUAUAUAUAUAUAUAUGAGAGUGGAAGUAGUGCAGAGUUGGCGCAGACCAUCCUCAACUAUAGAAGUCCAUAGUUUUCUUAUCUUGAUGAGUUAUUAUUGUCGAUUUAUUAAGGUUUUUUCAUUAAUUGUAGCACCAACGACCAGACUAACCCAGAAAGCCGCUAUGUUAAGGUGGACGAAAGAGUGUGAGGAAAGCUUUCAAAAGCUCAAGACAACUAUAACUACAACACUAGUAUUUAUAUUGCCUAUAGGUUCGGGCUUUUAUACUGUCUAUUGUGAUGCUGGAGAAUUGGCCAUAGAGAAGUAUUGAUGCAGGAUGGUAGGGCGAUUGCCUACGUGUCCAAAUAGAUAAAGGUGCAUGAGAAGAACUAUCAUAUCCAUGAUCUCGAGUUAGCUGCUUUUUUCACGCAUUGAAGAUCUAGCGUCAUUAUUUGUAAAUUGUUCCUUGUGAGAUCUAUAACGAUCAACGGAGUUUACAAUAUCUGUUAAAGACGAAGGACCUUAAUUUGUGUCAAAUAAGGUUGUUAGAGCUUCUUAAGGAUUACGAUGUCACUAUUUUGUACCACCCAGUGAAGGCUAAUGUGGUGGUUUAACCUUACAGCUGCUCGGGCUUCACAAUGGAAAUUAGGAAACUCAGCCCAAAUAGUCCUCACAAUUAGGAGUAGUAAAAAAAACCAUUUUUAAAACAUUUAAGCAGGUAAAACUUGACAUAGGAUAUGCUUUUAGCAAGUAAAGUGAGGAAAAUAGUCAUAAUUUCCCCUAAGGGUUUCUACAGACCGGUACAAGGCCUCAAACACGGCAUAUAUAUCAUAAUACAGUAUGAGAAUCCAAGUUACAAAAUAAAAUUUUUCCAAAUAAACUGCACGGUAUAAUAGUCGCUACGGGAUGGACUGAGUAACAAUCCCUACUGGUGCACACCCACACACUCAUCACCUAGCAUGUGCAUCCCCGAUUUUAUCAAAUCUAGUCAAAUACUGGAGUUUGUACCCUCACUUCCAGAUUUACAAUGGUUACAUACCUCAAACUGGUGAAAAUACUACUCCGCGAUGCCUUUUCCCCUUGAAUCGGCCUCCACUCGCGUCGAAUCUAUUAAAAAUCUGAAACCCGACCCCCGGGACCACAUUUUAAAAGUCAAAAUGUUCACACCAACAGAUUCCUUAUCUCUCCACGAGUUCACACAUAUUAAAAGUACUCAAAUCUAACUCCAAAUGGUCCUUCAAAUCCCAAAAGAAAAGUCCAAUUACUCAAGUCCAAGUUCUUCAAUUUAUGCUUAGUUUUCAUGAUUUUCUAGGUGGAAUUCACAUAAUAAUCGAGUUUUUAAAUUAAAAAUCUUACCUCCCAAUGAUUUUCCUUGAAUCACUUUUCAGUCGCCUUCAUGAAUCUCCAAAAAAGAGAAGCUCUGGGUGAAAUAAGCCCCAAAAUUGUUGACAAGACGACUUAAAAACAUUCUUCCCAUGCCUAUUGUUCCUUCAUCGCGAUUGCGGAACUUCCAUCGCGAUCAUGAAGAACAGAUUCUUUAGCUCCCAAAAUAAUACUACACAAACGCAACAAGGACUACACGAACGGGAUGAUCAAACAAAAUAACACUAUGCAACCGCAUGCAUAUCUACGUGUUAGCAAUGCACAGCCAUCCAGCCAAGCCCCAGGUCCAAUCUAUUCCAUGGGAAUGCGACUGUCCACCCUCGUUCGCGAUGAACAACAUUCCAUACAAGGAAAUUGUCAGCCUCCAUUCGCGAACAUAAAGAAAAUGGGUGUCUUCCUUAAAUCCCUCUGCGCGAUCAUCAGAUACCCUACGCGAUUGCAAAGGGCAAUUUUCUACAACACCUGAACCUGCAAUUUUUGCUAUCUUUCCAACUCUAAAAAGUUCCGAAUGACCACCUGAAACUCACUCGAGCCCUCGGGACCACAGCCAAGGUCAGCAACACAUCCCAAAACUUUAUUAAAACUUGUUUUAAUCAUCAAACAACUUCAAAUUACCCAAAACACAUCAGAUCCAAGCGUAAGUUUCUAAAAUCUUUCGAAAUACGCUUUUGAUCAAAAACCCAACCAAACCAUGAUGACUUGAAAUUUUACAUACAUAUCCCAAAUGAUAAAAUGAAACUAUUGCAACUAUUGGAGUUUCAUUUUAACCUCUAUAUCAAAAUCUCGUCUAUCAACCGGAAAUUGCCAAAAUAUUAACUUUGCCAAUUCAAGACUAAUUCUACUCUGAACCUCCAAAACCUAUUCCGAUCAUGAUCCUAUUUCAUAAAUCACUUUCCGAAACUAAUCAAUCCAUCAAAACUCAGAUCUGAGCCCUCUAACACAUAAUUCAACAUUCGAUUGACUGUUCCAACUUAAACUUCCGUAAAAGUGACUAAGUGUCUCAAACUUUACCAAACUCAUUCCAGACUCGAUACGACUAACCUGAUACCACAAGACAUGGAUAACAAAGCUUAAAUAAUUGGAAAUGGUGGAAACAUAGUGGUAACUCCUGAGACGACUAGCUGGUUCUUCACACAAGAGCGUGAUAUCAUUUUGAUUUUGAGCUGGUUCGAGGUAUGUGGCUUGCCUAACCUUGUGGGGGGGAACUCCCCUUAGGAUUUUGGUAUUGUUCGUAUAUGAAUGUCGUGUGUGUGAGGUGACGAGUGCUCGCAUGUGCUAAUGAUUAAAAAACCACCAUUUUUAUUAAGUUAAUAUCUAUGUUUUUCCUUAAUUGAAUAAUACUAGUAUGUGAAGCCUCUUGUUUAACUUAGGAAAGCAUUCUUACGUGACUUAACUUUCUUAUCUGCUUAACUGCUUACUUUGAUUCUAUGUAGCAUGUCUAGAGUUUGAAUUUUUUGUUUCAUGAUACGAACUUUUAUAGACUGUCGAUUUGUUGCUAUGAAUGUUGUGUAUUUACUUUGGGACUAUGGACCGAUAUUUCAAGAGAUUCCCUGCACAUUUAUAUUUGGGACUACGGGACGGUAUAUCGGGAGAUAUCUCUAUACUAGAUAUUUAAAUUGGGACUACAGAUCGAUAUUCCGAAAGAUCCCCUUGCACUUUUACGAUUUGGACUACGGGCGGUAUCCCCUGAGAUCCUAUAGACAUUUACGUUUGGGACUACAAGAGGUUAUCCUAGGAGAUCCUCCUGUGUUAUGUCUGUGUACUGAGGUUAGGCUUCGCAUUUACUGGAUGCUAUUGUAGUGUACACAUGCCCUUUCCUGCACAUAUUUUUCGUGUGCAGAUCCAGGUUCUUCUGCUCAGCCAUGCUAUCUGUGAGGUGAGAUCAUCCAGAGACUUCAAGGUAUAUUUGCCACGUCCGUAGACCUAGAAAUCCCUCUCUAUUCUCCCUUCAAAAAUAGACUUCUUAUAUUUUCUUCGUUUAGACUUCUCGAGUUAGAACAUUAUGAAUUUUUUUAGCUUGUGAUUCUUGAUAUUCUAGGUUUUGGAGUGCUAUGUUCAGCCGAAAGUUUAUUAUUGUAUAUAUCGAGUGCAUUUUAAAUUCUUUUACUAUAGUUACCUUUUAGUUGGCUAGUUUUGUUUCUUUAAUUUAUUUUCCGAAAAUUGUUAGGCUUACCUAGUCGUAGAUACUAGGUGCCAUCACGAUAGUUCACGAAGGAAGAACUUGGGUCGUGACAUAAGCGAAUCAAAGAAAGUGAUUGUUGUCGAAGUUUGACUUUUUGAGAUAAAUAUUGUCCAAGCUACAACAUCCCAUUUUUAUGAACUAGUGUCAUAUACUGUACCACAUGACCAUGAUGGUAGGGUGUAUAAGAUAUAUUAAAAGUAAGUAGUAUUUUAAGUAAUUUGAGAUAAUUCUUAAUUAUGUGGGUGAUUGGUUAAUUAUUGGGUAAUAGAAAAUUACCUAAUUAAUUAUGGAAUUAUUGGGUGAUUAAUUAAGCACAUUUGGAUCAGCAUUGAACUCCAAGAUGACAGCAAAUUAUGCCAAAUUUUACGAGUCAUUUGUCAUUAGGAUAGUUCGCACAUUAAGGGGUGUUUGGCCAAGACGAAUCCCCAAAAAGUGGGGCUCACUUAAACAUUUGGUAUAACAUUUCUAAAAAUUAUUUUCCUAACCUCUUAAAAGAUUUUCAGCAAAGUGUAGAAACUUUAUUGACAAAGACAUUCUGCGAAGGAAUAUAGCAACAUUAUUGACAAAGAGUUUCAGCCAAGGGACGUAGUAACAUUACUGAGAAAGAGUUUUAGCCAAGAUUAUUUUUGCAUAGCUAACAUUAUUGUUUCGAGUAUUUCAUAAGUGUUUUUUCAACUUCAAUUUUAUCGUCACGAUUUUGUCGCAAAUAACGUGUGUUAGAGGGAUCGGUAAGAAAAUUAACUCAAGUAUGUUAAGGUUAUUCCUUCUUUUUUUGGCAUAAUUUUACGACACAAACGAAACGAGAAAAUGCACAACUUUCAUAAAUGACUCUAUUCAUAGAAUUACUAGAGAUGACUAUGUUCUUGAAUUUUCAUGUGUCCUAUUAUUUUAUCAUCUAUUCAUGGGUUUCAGAAAAAUACAUAAAUUAAUUUUAUGAUAUUAAUCAGAGGCGUAAUAGUCUUAUGACACUCCGAACGGUUUUAUUGACGUACUUCUCAUGUAUUGAAUUCAUUUACAUUGACUCAUGACCAGAUGAAAUUAUAUACACAUAUAUAUGUUUAUGGGAUAUGGAAAAAGGUUACGACAUUAUAUACGCACCACCACAUGAUCAAUUGGAAUACGUUAAUGAUUUUACCCACAGUGGCCUGGAUGAUAUGAUGAGAUGCCUUCAGAGGCUUGAUGAUGUUAUGCACACAUGUACUAUGCAUGACAUGACAUUCAUAUGCAUAUGCAUGGCACUAUAAGUAUUUCAUGAUUUAGAAAGUUAUCCAGACUUACGGAUUAAGUCAUUUACUCCAUGUUUCUUCCAUGACUUGUAUGUACUUAUUUAAGUUCCUUACACAUUCAGUAAGUUAUUCGUAUUGAUGUCCCUUUUGCCCGGUGACACUACGUUUCAUGCCCGUAGGUUCCAAUAGACAGGCCAAGAAUUUGCCAAGCAGGUGAUCAGCUCACCAAAAGAUGUUGGUACGCUCCAUUUUCUUCGAAGUUUCUUGAUUGGUUAGUAUGUAAGGUUUAGACGUCUAUUGUUUAGUAUGUCGGAGCCAUGUCCCGGCCUUUACGAUAAAUAUGUACUCUUAGCGUCUUGUAGAAAUAUUUCAUAUAUACAGAUGCUUGUAUGACCUUGCCGGCCUAAGUUUUGAGUUUACAAAUAAUUAUGUUCGCGUUAUAGGCCCGUAUAUUACAUGUAUAAGUUUUUAUAUCAUGUUGGGUUGUCCAAUGUUGAAUAUUCCCCUAUGUUUAUUUUGGGUAGCCCAUGAUGGCCCGUUUGGCCCACAUGCCAAUGAAAGUAUGAUAAAAAAUAUAUGUUAUGUUGGUACUUGGUUGAGUAAGGCACCGGAUGCCCGUUGUGGCCCAUAUGUAUGGGUCGUAAUAGGUAAAAAUAAAAUAUAAUUCAAUUUUGACUUAGUAAAAGAUGAUACCAGUAAUAAUUACCAAAAAGAAUAAUUAAACACUUUAAUACAAAUGAUUUUCUACCAUACUUGCUUUUGUGAAGUUCAUUAUUUCUUACGCAUGUUAGUGUUACCAUAUAUAUAGUAGACUAAGUUAAUGUUGAUCUUCCAUUGCGUAUAUGUUUAUGCAUGUCGUGCUACUGAAAACUUAGAUCGGUUGAAUAGCUUAUAAUAGUACACAUAUGAUACACAGAAGGUUUGACAACAAGGUCAUAGUUGCAGAACUUAUGAUACUGGUUAAUGUGCUUUUAAGUAUUUGUUUAUCCUCGAGUUCCACUUUCGUCUUCCGAAACAAAAGAAUAUCUUUUUAAAUUUUUGUGAAAAUAAUUUUCAUUAUAUUUAUGUUUUAUGGCUUGAAUAAAUAAAGCACAAAGAAAAAAAUCCUAAAUAUUGAGCUAUAUUUACUACAAUAUAUUUUCUCACACGAAUAACUAUAUGUUACACUGUCAAGAGAGAUAUCAAUAUCAACAACAAGAGUAUUGGUUAUGGAAUACUAACCAAAGCAUUAGAAGAGAAUAUACACACACAAAAAAUACCUCCUAUAAAAAAGUGUUCGGCAAGAUACCAUCACGUUAGAUACCUUUCAAUUACAAUACAUAAUUAUCUAAUUAAUAUGACUAAACUUUAUCGUUUAUGUAUGUUUUGAUAAUAUUCUUUCAUUUUGAAUUCACGUAUUCUGCUAUUGCACUAAUAUUUUUUCGGCCUUUAGAUGAUUAUCGUAGUAUUAUAUAUAAAAUUUCUCUCAUUAAUGAAUUUUCUUUGUUUCUUCAUAUAAAUAAAUAUCUAAGCCAUCAUGUACCAUAUUUUAUGUGUAUCACCCAUAUAUAUAUAUAUAUUGGUUACUUUAACUGGGUAGCUUUUCAAAUGCAAACACUAUUGAUCCACAUGAUGGGGUAAAAAGAAAAUAAUGGUUUUUCCUUUCUUUUCCAUUCUCAGAUAUUACUCAUAUCAUAUUAGAAUGGCAGUUGGAAGGAGAGACAAUAAACCAACAAAUAAAAGGCAAGCAAAGAAACUGUUCGACUGAAUAUACCUAACAAGUUUGCCGACACUCUUCAAUAUUCAACAGAUGCCAAAAUAUGGGUCCUAAUCAUCAUGCCGACCUUUUUUAUUUCUGUCCAUACUUUAAUAUGGUAUUGUUAUGAAAAAGAUUAGUAUCAAGCAACUCGUGUGGGAGAUGAGUUGGAACUUCGGUUCAAAGAUACUCAAGAUCUCCAUUUGUGAUUUCAAACUUUCACAUUUUUUUUUGGGGGGGGNNNNNNNNNNNNNNNNNNNNNNNNNNNNNNNNNNNNNNNNNNNNNNNNNNNNNNNNNNNNNNNNNNNNNNNNNNNNNNNNNNNNNNNNNNNNNNNNNNNNNNNNNNNNNNNNNNNNNNNNNNNNNNNNNNNNNNNNNNNNNNNNNNNNNNNNNNNNNNNNNNNNNNNNNNNNNNNNNNNNNNNNNNNNNNNNNNNNNNNNNNNNNNNNNNNNNNNNNNNNNNNNNNNNNNNNNNNNNNNNNNNNNNNNNNNNNUUGGGGGGGGGGGGAGAUAAUAAUAUAUAGUUUUAGUGUAUUGUAACGAAGCUAUAUGAAGUUAAUUAGCUAGCGAUGUUUUUAAUUCCAUCAGAAUGGAUAAUGAAAUAAAUUGCUAUUGAUAUUUUGAUUUUUUUGUUCCUUUUAUUUUCUGCUUUUAAUGAUAUAAUAUAUUUUUAUUUGUGCUUCUUAUGGGAUCAUAAAUCUACAUAUAACGUGACAUUCGUGGAAGAUUACAAAUUCUUAAAUAGAAAAAUGUUAUGUUGCUUGAUAGCAGACAAAAUUCUAGAACAUAGAAUGAGAACAAUGUAUGGGUCAAAAUAUGACUUCACAAUAAUGAAUGAGAUCAACGCAUUUAUUAAAGCCUAUUCAUAAAUAAGAAAUGGUACCACCAUUGAUUAACAAAAUUAUCGGGCAGUUACCUAAUGUGACAACUAAGGUCACGGCAUGGCAGUCCUUACGAGGGCGUCUCCACUAUGUGGUCCCAACCCCUUGGCGCCAGCUGACAGAUCUCCUAGCUAUAAAUACUAAGAAAAAUAACCUAAAGGGGGGGUUGCUUCUUCUUCUUCACAUCUCCUUCUAAAAGAAGAAAGAAUACAUUACUGUAAGGCUCUAAACCUCUCGAUGGAGAGGCCGACCAAAACAACAUCAUUAUUAAAAGAUCUUCAUCCUCCUCCCUUUAAUCUAUACGUAUUGUCUCUUAUAUUUUAUUCCUUUUAUCUUUGGAUUUAUUACGAUCUGUUAUGAUUGUCCCUCCAUUUAUUUUGAUUGUUUUAUGCUUCUAAACUAAAUGAAAACCUUGAGCUAAACAAUUUGGCGCCGUGUGUUGGUAUUUCAUAGCAGAAUCGCGUAGUUUAUCCUUAGACCAAAAAAGAAAAAUGAACAACCUAGCUCGAACAAGCCCAAGCGGCAUAGCAGAUUGUAGGAAGUCAGCAACCUCGAGAUGAGCUUGCUUCCACAUCACGCAUCUCCGAGCAAAAAGAGGAAGAAGAAGAAGAAGAAGAACAUGAAGCAGAUCCCCCAUCCCUAUGAGGAAAAUAGGACUAAGGUACCUCACCCCUUUUGAACACGGGAUCUUGCCAAAAGGGAGGACAUCACGAAAGCAUCUCUCUAACCGAGAUCUGUAACAGGGUAACCCACGCGAGCCACUCACAAAGAACACAAGCGCAAGUUGGGCAAGAUUUAAAACAAGAAGCAAAUCCCAACCCCCAACAUGAAGCAGGUUAUAUGGGAAAAACCACAUAAGUUCAACUACGGUUGAACGUCAGGCCAGACUACGUGCCUUCAGCCAAAAGUUCAACCACGGUCGAACUGGGACUCAGGCUAUGUGCCUUCAGUUCAGGCUAUGCGCCUUCGACAUAGGAUAAGCGCCUUACAAUAUUCCAAUGGUGCAACUACAGUUGAACGGCAGUAUAGGCUACGCGCCUUCAGUUCAGGCUAUGUGCCUUCAGUUCAGGCUAUGCGCCUUCGACUCAAGCUACACGCCUUCAAAUCUUACAAAGGUUAAACUACGGUUGAACAUCAGCUCAGGCUAUAUGCCUUCAAUUUAGGCUAUGUGCCUUCAAUUCAGGAUAUGCACCUUCGACUCAGGCUACACACUUUCAAAUAUUAAAAUUGCUCAACUACGGUUGAACGGAAGCUCAGACUAUGCGCAUUCAGUUCAGGCUAUGCGCCUUCAGUUCAGGCUAUGCGCCUUCGACUCAGGCUACGCACCUUCAAAUCUCAGAAAGGUUCAACUACGGUUGAACGUCAGCUCAGGCUACGUGCCCUCACCCAAAGGUUCAACUACGGCUGAAAUGGGACUCAGGCUUUGUGCUUUCAAAAAUUACAUAAGUUCAACUACGGUUGAACGUCAGCUCAGGCUACGUACCUUCACCCAAAAGUUCAACUAUGGUUGAACUGGGACUCAGGCUAUGCGCCUUCAAAGAUUACAUAAGUUCAACUACGGCUGAACGACAGCUCAGGCUACCUGCCUUUACCCAAAAUUUAAACCACGGUCGAACUGGGAUUCGGGCUAUGCGCCUUAAAAAAUUAUGUUUCAACUACAGUUGAACGUCAGCUCAGGCUACGUGCCUUCACCCAUAAGUUCAACUACGGUUGAAUGUCUGCUCAGGCUAUGAUCCUUUGCCCAAAAGUUCAACUACGGUCGAACUGGGACUCAGGCUAUGCUCCUUCAAAAAUUACAUAAGUUCAACUACGGUUGAACGUCAGUUCAGGCUACGUGCCUUCACCCAAAAGUUCAACCACGGUCGAAAUGAAACUCAUGCUAUGCGCCUUCAAAAAUUACAUAUGUUCAACUACGGUUGAACGUCAUCUCAGGCUACGUGCCUUCACCCAAAAUUUCAACUACGGUCGAACUGGGACUCAGUCUAUGCGCCUUCUAAAAUUACAUAAGUUCAAUUACGGCUUAACCCCAGCUCAGGCUACGUUCCUUCACCCAAAAGUUCAACUACGGUUGAACUGAGACUUAGUCUAUGCGCCUUAAAAAUUACAUAAGUUCAACUACGGUUGAACGUCAGCUCAGGCUACGUGCCUUCACCCAAAAGUUCAACAACGGCUGAACUGGGACUCAGGCUAUGCUCCUUCAAAUAUUACAUAAGUUCAACUAAGCUUGAACGUCAGCUCAGGCUAUGUACCUUCACCCAACAGCUGACUCACCUUUGAACUGGGACUCAGUCUACGCGCCUUCAAAAAAUACAAAGGUUCAACUACGGUUUAACGACAACUCGGGCUACAUGCCUUCGGCUAAAAGUUUGACUACAAAUUAGACUAGGAUUCGGGCUAAGUGCUUCCACCAUUAUGGAAUACAAAAGAAUUCAACUGUGAGGCGAACCAGAACUCAGGCUAUACGCCUCUGUCGUAAAAGCCGCAAAUGCAACCACAUACGAAUUAAUGCCAAGGACACACGUCCCCAAGGCUAUAAGUCGGGCCGCAAUUAAAUGAGAACAAGCGCCCCCAAAUGUACAACCACGGACAAACCCCAGGUCGGGCCACGCGCCCCGCUAUUCAAGUAAGUACGACUAACAAAAAUUAAAGUAUUACCCGCACAAAGUUCGUCCUAAGCCGAACUACAGGGCUGUACUUUUCAUUAUCACGUCCAGUAGUUCGACUAAGACCGAACUGGGACUAAGGCUAUGUGCCGCUGCUGCCCAAAUUUGGCCACAAUCCACUCCCAACGAGUGGAGGAAAGUGACGACCAAAAGCCUCUUUCUAUGGCCAAGGCCAUCUACACCAACUUUCCUUAAGGCAAGGAAUCAAUUCGACAAUGGUCAAAAUCACCUAACCGGUUGAAACUAUUAACAUGCUCACUAGAAAAACUCUAAAGCAAUAACCUUGCAAACAGACACAAAAUGUAUAUAAUGUAUUUGACAUAAAACAAAUAAAAAAGAAGAAAAACCCAUAUAUUUACAACAUUUACACGCAGUUACCCCCAAUUGCAUUGCCCCAAGGCCGGCCAAGAAAAAAGAGAAAAAGAGAACAAAAACUAAGCAAACAUUACAAAUUUUUCCAUUUAUUCACUCGGUGCCCCCAGCUCCCCCUUCAGCAUUAUCGGCGCCCUCGGCGCCAUCAUCGCCCCCGGGCAUAGAUGGGUCAAUACCGCAGUCGAGGCGGGCUUCACGAGCCUUUUGGUGUGCCUCCUCAUAAGUGGCCAACACGACGCCGGCUUCCUACAAUCGCCUGUACACAUCGAGUUGGGCCUCGGCAUAAUUCUAAAGCUUACGAGCAGGACCGAAAGAAACGGCCUAGUCCCUCAGGCACUUGUUCUAGGCCUCCCAGGCCACGAUCCGGUCCACUGCAGCACGGGUGUCCAUCUCACAGACGGCAAGGUGCCCCUCCAACGACCGCUCUCGAAAGGCAGCGGCAGCCCUCUCUAAUCCAAGCUCCCUUUCGUAGGCACGGUUGGUUGCCUGCAAUGUCUCAGCCCUCGCCAGGGAGUCCUCUACCUGCUUCCUUGAAGUGGCAGCCUUAGUCUCCAGGUCGGCCACUUGCCUAGAAUAAGCCUCACUGGCCUCUGCUGCCGCAGCCAUAUUUGGGUGCUCCCUCUCAGCAGCUGCCCUUCUCUCGACAUCCACCCCUUCGUACGCUUAAUCGAGCUGCCCCUCUAGGGCGGUUACCUUGCUGAGGGUCUUUUGCAUAUGAAUCUCCCUCCACGGCAGCUCGUCUACCCGCUCCUGGUUCCGUGGGUUGUUCCUUAAGUUUUCACGCAAGCCGCGACACCGGUCACAGUAUUGGUGGUACUUCUUUAAUAGCCGCACAAAAACCGCCGAGCAGACGUUAGCCCGCCUGAUGCUCAACACCUCCAGUAAAAAUAUUUACAAAAAACAUAGCAAUAGUGAAUACAAGAAUACAUUCUAAGAAAGAAAACAAACCAAAGUAUUAAACAUACCUUUAUACUCAGGGUGGACACCUCGCCCAUCAACCCGACGUUCGAGAUGCCUCUUAGGAACGUGCUCUCCGUUUCCGAGCAUGGGACCCUAAACAGUGUCACCAGGUUCUCCUCCUCAAGCAGUAUGUUCAGAUCGUUAGGGAUCUCCAAAUAAUGGUAAUCCCCUUUGGCCUGCACUGAUGGGCGGGUAUGACCCUCCUGAAAAGGAAGAACAUCCUCAAGAUCCAUAUCAGACUCCGAAUCGUCCCCCUCUCCUGAGGCGCCCCUUCCUUCCGCCGCCGUGGUAGUCGAGGCUUCUACUGCCGGAGACAUCGAAGCGCCCUCAUUCGCCACAACGUCGGCACCUGCAAUAUCCACCAAAAUAGUUUCCGAGGAACUGCCUUCCCUCUCAGCAACUUGAACAAAAACUUGAAUCGCCGAAGCGAUUGUGUCGCCUUGGCCAAAGCCAACCGGGGCAACCCCCACUGAGCGCUCGCCCUCUGGGGCAAGGUCCGCUGCGGCCCCUCCUCCGCUGAUGGCAAAGAGUCUAAACUAAUCACCACCAGAAGAGCCGGGGAGAACGCCACCCUGCUAAACCAGCGGCCUCCCAUUUUCUUCUUCAUCUUCAUUCGGUAACCGCUCCGCCCUGGAAUGCACGACCCUUAGAGAAUCCUCAACUCGGGGCACGGGCCGUACCGGAGAGUGGGCACCUGAGGAUUCCAGUCAAGUCACCCUCAGGACCGGGCGAGGCGCUGGCAUUGUGAUUAUUCGAGCACUCGCCCCGGCCUCCGAAAAGCAAGCUGAGGAGCCCUCCUGCGCCAUGGUCCUUCAGACAAGCAAAAGAAGAAGGAUUAGGCCAGAGAAACUAAGGACUACGAAGAAAGAGCAGUAAAAAAACAAAUCAGAUUCUUACCAGCAGACUUUCUACGGCCAUGGACCUCAAGAAAGAUGCCCAUGUGCAAAUCCCCGUUGAACAGGGCGCACAGCCUCAACCCACUCGCGGAUGCUAGAAAAUAGUGCCACUGGCGCACCUCGCGAUACGGCUAUAAACACAAAACAGUAACAUUUAGACAAAAUAAAUCAAAGCAGCGUAAAAGAAACUUACGUGCAUGGUUCCACUCCUCUAGGAAAUCAGUAGCGCAGGCCACCAUGUGCCCGAUCCUUAUGUAGAAGAAAUGCUCGUAACGAUGGGUGGCGACCUCGUCAUCGAGCUCCGUAGUUAAGUCGUCAUUCCUACGGGGGACCAACCAAAUCAUGGUGUCGCGUACCCUCUGAGGGGCAUACAGAGUCAACACGUGACCAAGUGUAAUUUCCUCCGUGCCAGCUCCGCAUAUUUUAUUAGCAUCGCCAAUAAUUUGUAACACGAUGGGACGAGCUGAACAGGGAACAACCUGUAGUAGCGGCAAAAUUCCACCACCAGCACGGGGAGAGGAAGCCUAAAUCCCAGCUUGAAAGGGUUGGCGUAAAAGACUCAGUAACCUUGAUGGUCGACGUGCACCCUAUCACCGCUCCUGGCUAGGACGAUGUCAACGAAGCAAGGAAGAUCACAUUUCUCCUUUAGCUGAGCAAUGCCGACUUCCCCCAUCAGUGGAGCCUCAUCCAUUUCAUCUUCUCUCUCGGGGUCGGUAAAAUUGGUGGCCGGACCGUCGGGCAUGGAAAGGAUGUUAGUCACCGACGGGAAUCGAUCAGCAUUCGGCGAAUCAGUGGUUACCACCAAUCACCGCCGGAGCUACUUCAGAAUGUGAACUUCUCGCCAUUAUCAGUGUAACAAGAGAUAAAUGGAAAAAUUCACCGGAAAAACAAGAGAAUACGAAGAUCCGAUUGAAAUGACGGAGAAUGAAUUAACGAGGAUUAAUAGACUAGAUAAUCUGAAAGCAGGAAGGGCUAUCUCUCCCAGAAUUCCACUCAGACAAAUAUCGAGAAAGUGAUAACUGAAUGAGACAACCCCUUAUUUAUAGACAAAGCAUAAAUGACCUUCACGAAUCCCAAAGGUCACCAUUAACUACCUGAGCAACUGAAAAACGGUUCAGGACAAACUAAACUGUCGCACUAUUCAGAUUCUCUGCCUUCUCUCUAGGCACUAUUCAUUGAAUAGUAUUUCCGUCACUAUUCAUCGGCUAUAUCGCCGGAAUCCGGUGGUGGAUUUUCACAAUUUUUGUGUCACAACAUCCCCUUCUCGUCGUGAAUAAUUCCCAAUAGAUUUUAUACUAAAAUCUAUAGUCAUUUUCUCUAAAUCGUUAAUCUAGUCCCCGAGCUACUUUAGCAUCCAAAUCUCGCUGUUUUUAACAAUGAAAUCUGUCAUCGUGUAGUGAUCUUGGCAACCAUGUCUGCGCGGACCUCUCCCCAGCCUUUGGCUGUGGGAGAGGUUUCUGAUUCAAAUGAAAAGUUCAAGCAAUCAUAUGCUUCCACUUUACAAGCAAAACAGCCAGCUACAACUAAAAUAGAGCUAGUUCCAGUUAUAUACACUCAUGAUGAACCUAUAAUUCUAUUCACAAUGGAAGAGGUUAACAACUUCACUAAUGAAGAAGGAUUACAUCAGGCAGUGGUUUUAAAGUUCUCUUAUGGCAGACCUGAUUUAAUGGAAGUGCGAAAGAUGUUCUCGUUGCAAUUUGAUGUUCAAGCUCAUUGUAAUGUUGGGCAGCUGGAAUUUAGGCAUCUGUUAAUCAGAUUUGAUCUAUACGAUGAUUAUGUUCACAUCCUUUCAAAGUCGACUGGAUGUAUUAAAUCCAAAGGCGAAGAAUACUUCUUCAUAACAUUUCCAUGGUCGUUCGGUUUCAAUCCGAGGGAAGAGACAUCGAUGGCAGUCGUGUGGAUAUCACUGCCAGGACUGCCUCCAAACUUCUUUGCUAAGAGAUCAUUAAUGUCUAUUGCAUCAACUGUUGGGAAACCUCUUGCUGUUGACAAGGCGACGCUGGACAGAACGAGACCUAGCGCGGCAAGAGUUAAGGUUAUAGUGGACCUUUUGAAUAAACAUCCAAAAAGGGUCUUGUUGCAGAUAUUAGAUUCUGCUUCUGGUAAAACUGUCGAGUUCCAUCAACAAAUUGUUUACGACAAUCUGCCAAAGUACUAUGCGUAUUGCAAACAUCAAGGACACGAUGUAAAAGCCUGCAGAAUCAGAAAAGAAAAAGCCGAAGCAGAUGUCGUGAUGGAGGAUAAACUUGUUAGUGAUCUGAUUCGUAAUGAUGGGAAUGAAGUUGACAAAUUAUAAGGGGAUGCAAGGGAUUAUCUAAAUGGUAAACGAGCUGGACAACGAGUUAAGGAUUUACAAGAAAAAGUUUAUAAUUCAGGAGUAGAAUUAACAAAAGUCGCACAGCACACUGCACAGUUUGCUGAAGCAGAGACUUCACAAAAGAAUACAGUAUUGAAUGAGAAUAUUGGUAAUUUUGAUUCAGCUAUACAACAUGGUAUUGUUAAAAAUGUUACGAAACAGAAUGAUGAUAUUAAGUCUACUCAAACUUCUAAUACUGUUAAAUCCAAUGUGAAUGUUCCCAGUAAACAAUUGGUAUCAAACAUGCCAGGGAUUCCUCCUAAUGGGUUUCUAAUACUGUUAAAUCCAAUGGAAAUGCUUCCAGUAAAUAGUUAGUAUCAAACAUCCCAGGGAUUCCUCCAAAUGGGACUGCUGAUAUACUGGUUUCUGGCCAAAUAGUUCCAGCUGCUGAAGCUAAUUCAACACUAAAUGACAAUAUUGCACAGCUGUAUAAAAGCACUUCCACAGUUGCAUCCAAACAGAAUGUUCCUAGUGAACAAGUGGUGUCAAAUAUGGCAGGGAGGCUUGUGAAUGAUGAUGUAAUUGGUUCUGGUCAAAUGAUUCCAGCUGCAGAAGCUAUAUCAAGAAUGAAUGAAGAUAUUGCGCAGAUGAGUAAAAAUGUUUCUACUGUUGCAUCCAAAUUGAAUGUUUCUAGUGAACAAGUGGUGUCAAAGUUGUAGACUGCUAUGAUCAGUAGUGUAUCAGAUGCUUCACAGGUAGCAGUUCCAAAGAAGCCUAUUGACGAGGUCAUUGAUCUCGCUGGACAUCCUGAUAAGGACACAACCAUCGAGCAGUAGUCUCUUCAAAAUGCUUUGCCUAAAAAACAGUCAGCUAUGGUUGCAAUUUGACAAAGUCAGAUGCAUCUUGCAUACCACUAGAUGAAAACACAGAGAAUACUGGGACAAUUCAAACCUCUACAACUUUUACCACAUCAACUGCACGCACUGAACACGUCAUUGAUCUCGCUGGACAUCCUGAUAAGGACACAACCAUCGAGCAGCAGACUCUUCAAAAUGCUUUGCAUAAAAAACAGUUAGCUAUGGUUGCAUCAAAUUUGACACAGUCAGAUGCAUCUCGAAUACCACCAGAUAAAAACACCAAAAGGACAGAUCAAGUCUGGACAAAUUCCUCAGUGCAGAGAGUAGCUAUUGAACUGCAGUAUUUGAUGCAGAAUGAAACAGUUGUGGAAUAUGAUGAAUCACAAGAGAAGUUAACACAGGCCAAAUAUCAAAAGGAUGCGAACAAUUUAUUGUUUAAUGAAAUAGUUACUGCAGUUGCUGUAGUGUCAAAAUUGGAUUACUCUCUUCCAACUCACAGUCUUGCUGAUCAACAACACAAGAGGCAGAAUGAAACAGUUUUUGAAUCUACUGAAUCACAGGAGAAGUUAACACAGGCCAUGGAUCAAAAUACACCUGAUAAUUCACUGAUUAAUGAAGCUGUCAUUGCAGCUGCUGUAGUGCCAAAGUUGGAUUAUACUUUUCCAACUCAUAGUCUUGCUGAUCAAGGAGGUUCAACUGAUAGCCAGGAUAAUCAGUCUGGCCAAGCGAAUGAUCAGGAAGAUGACACACUACAGUGGAAUACAAAAACUGUUUUGGUUAAUUCUGAUCAUACCAGAACAGAAGAAUCUAAACAACAAGAUCAAUGCUGCAAUAAUCAUCAGGUAGGAGGAGAGGACAGACAGUUACUCAUAUUCCAGCUCAUAGUCUUGCUGAUCAAGGAGGUUCAACUGAUAACCAGGAUAAUCAGUCUGGCCAAGUGAAUGAUCAGGAAGAUGACACAUUACAGUGGAAUAGAAAAAUAGUUUUGGUUACUUCUGAUCAUACCAGAACAGAAGAAUCCAAACAUCAAGAUCAAUGCUGCAAAACCAGGAUAAUCAGUCUGGCCAAGUGAAUGAUCAGGAAGAUGACACAUUACAGUGGAAUAGAAAAAUAGUUUUGGUUACUUCUGAUCAUACCAGAACAGAAGAAUCCAAACAUCAAGAUCAAUGCUGCAAUGAUCAUCAGGUAGGAGGAGAGGACAGACAGUUACUCAUUCAAGUAGCUAAUUCAAAUGGAGUAUCAGAAUCUAAUCCAGCUGGUGCAAUUGAAGAUGACAACACAAAAAUUCAACAUCAUAUGUUAUAUGAACAGAUCUAUACUCUGCAGAAUACAAUCAACAAGAAUUCAAGGCACAAUGAACAGAUGGCCGAUGCUCAAUUCUCUCCCCCAUCAAAUUCCAUUGGAAAUAACAAACAACUAGUUGUUAGCAUGAGGGACAUGGUCACUAAGUCAAAAUUGUGGAAAGAAUAAAGAGAUUAUGACGACGAGGAGAGCUGGGGAGAUGGAUUUGCUGCUUUUUCAUCCUCAGGUGAUGAUCAAGAUUUUGAGGACGACACUGCUGGAGAGGACAGUGAGGGUCAGUUCAUAACUCAAAGGAAGUUUGCGACAAGUAAGUUAUACUGGUAAUAUGCAAACAGUAGCACUCAGAAAAACCAAUUUUAACCAUAAUGCUCUAGUAUCUUUGCCAAGAAAUACAAUGAAAUUAGGGGAAACUUCAGCUGCCAAUCCAAGCACAACAAAUAUACCUAUCCAGAAUCAGAUUAUGCCAAUUAAGACAUCCACGUCAAUGGGGAAGGGACAACAACAGAUUAUUUUAUCUAAUUCUGCAACCAAUCUCCGGAAUAAAAAUUUUUUCAAAGAGGAGAUAGGAACACAUAUAUAUGAUGAAGGGGAGGAAGAAGAUAUCCUAUCGCAUUGUAGAGCCGAAGCGUCAAGAAAUGGAGAUUUAUCACCAAUGCAUUGCAAAACAAAUAAGAAGUUUCGUCAAAGAGAUACAAGUGGAAAUAGCAGGAUUUGUGAAGAUGCUAACAUUCAGAGGCCCCCAAUGAGAAUCGCAAAGCAGAAACAACUUUUGCAACCAUCUGUUAUAAAGCCUAAUCGUUCGAGGAACAAGCGUGAUUUUUAAACCAAUGUGGAAAAAAUAAAUUACAUCACAUUAGUAGUUCUCGGUGUUUUAUCAUCACAUUAGUAGUUCUUGGUGUUUGAAGCCUUAAUAGGAUGAAGACGAUAAGGUUAGACCGGUUGUGUUAUAUGGGUAACAACUCCGGCGAUAUUGUCUCCCUUAUUAGGAUUUAUCUUUAUUGUUGUAUUUUACUGUUUUCUAUUAAUAAAAAUUUAACCCUAGGCUUUGCCUAGUGGAUUGCCAAAAAGAAAAGGGGCACCAUUAUGACAGAUAUCAUUGAACGGUCAUUUAACUGUCAAUCGGCACGUCCCCCAUGAAACGGUGAUGACGACCUCAAGAUACAGUGGACACCCCCCAUGCGUUUUCAUGCACAUGAUGCUCCGCUUAUACGGGGCAAGCGUGAUAAUACUCUCUCCGAGCAUGCGUAAAAAUUGCUAUGGCCAUCUCCAAAAGAUAAAUGGCUACGACCAUCUCUAAAGUGAAAAGGGCAACAGCCAUCUGUCAAGUAAAAAUGGCUACGGCCAUCUCCAAAAGAUAAAUGGCUACGGCCAUCUCUAUUGUAAAAAUGGCUACGACCAUAUCCAAAAGAUAAAUGGCUACGAUCGUCUCUACAGUAAAAAAUAGCUACGGCUAUCUCUCAAGUAAAAAUGGCUACGGCCAUCUCCAAAAGCUAAAUUGCUACACCCAUCUCUAAAGUAAAAAUGUCUAUGGCCAUCUCUCAAGUAAAAAUGGCUACGGCCAUCUCCAAAAGAUAAAUGACUACGGACAUCUCUAAAGUAAAAAUGGCUACGGCCAUCUCCAAAAGAUAAAUGGCUAUGGCCAUCUCUAAAGUAAAAAUGGCUACUGCCAUCUCCAAAGGAUAAAAGGCUACGGCCAUCUCUAAAGUAAAAAUGGCUACGGCCAUCUCUCAAGUAAAAAUGGCUACGACCAUCUCCAAAAGAUCAAUGGCUACGGCGAUCUCUAAAGUAAAAAUGGCUACUGCCAUCUCUCAAGUAAAAAUGGCUACGACCAUCUCUCAAGUAAAAAUCGCUAUGGCCAUCUCCAAAAGAUAAAUGGCUACGGCCAUCUAAAAAGUAAAAAUGGCGACGACCAUCUCUCAAGUAAAAAUGGCUACGAGCACCUCCAAAGUAAAAAUGGCUACGUCCACCUCCAAAGUAAAACUUUCUAUGGCCACCUCAGAAGAAUAAGGAGCUAUGAUCUCCCCUAAUGCAUAAACGGCUACGGUUAUCGGCAGAAUCCACUCAUCGAGAUCGGCUUUGGCACGACCUCAAUAAGUGGAGGGACUAUCUCUAUGGGUCAAAAUCAGACCUCAUAAUAAUAAAUGAGAUCAACACAUUUAUUAAAGCAUAUUCAUGAUUAAUAAGUGGUACAACCAUUUAUUAACAAGAUUAUCGGGUAGUUACCUAAUGUGACAACUAAGGCGACGGCCUAGCCGUCCUUACGAGGGUGUCCCUUCUUUGUGGUCUCAACCCCUCGGCGCCAUCUCGCAGAUCUCCUCGCUAUAAAUAUUAAGAGAAAGAACCCUAAAAGGGGAGCUGCUUCUUCUUCUUCACAUCUCAGUCUAAAAGAAGAGAGAAUACAUCAUUGUAAGACUCUGAACCUCUACAUGGGUAGGCUGACCAAACCAACAUCAUUCAUAAAAGAUUUUCAUCCUCCUCCCAUUAACCUAUACAUGCUGUCUCUUAUAUUUUAUUACUUUCACAUUUGGAUUUAUUACGAUCUCCUGUGAUUGGAACUUUAUUUAUUUUGAUUGUUUUAUGCUUCAAAUGUUAUUUAAAACUUUGAGCUAAACAAACAAUACUAAAAAAUGGGAGCAGAAUAUAGUUUUUUGUGUACAGAAUAUCCCCAUCCAUAUACUGGAUGAUAAUCCUUUUAUUUAUAAUUAUAUUCAGUGAGAUCAGAUCCCCAAAUUAGGAUUCUCUUGAAUGAGAAUAAAACCGUUGUUGAUGGAUGCAUAAUGGUUUGUUAUAAAUACAGAUAUUCUUUGUAAUAUCUGCUCAUUGAAUAAUAUCCGGUCGUUACUGGCUACUAUCGCGGAAUUCGUUCAACAUCAAUUGCAUGUUUACAUCCGAUAACAAUUGUUUGCUAUCUCAUGUCCCACCUGUAUUUAGUUCUACGUGUCAUUUUGUCAUUCAUCGAAUUGUCACUAACCUAUUUUACCUCAUAUAAAUAGUCUCCUUAUUUUAGGAACACAACUUAGUGUUACCGGGAAGUAGAUAAGAAUUCAUUUCUUGGCGAAAAAAUUCUUGAAUGGUCUCUGACACUUGAAAGGACACAUGUCCUCUUGUAUUUAACGACCUAAACACGUGUCGAUCCGUGAUUUAAAAAAUAUUUUCACUGUUUUUCUAGGUACUCAUGACUAUGAUUUUAGUCAUCUAUAACUUCUCCACUACUCAUCUUUUUUACUUUUUACUUUCACAACUCCCUAUUCUUCCUUAAUUCUCCUUAGAACCAUUCUGUGACAUUCUACGUUUUCUGUAAAACCAUUCUUCACAAACAUGUCUUCAAGCAUUACCGUCAUCGUAAGCUCUGGCCUUUUCUUUGGAAGGCCCCCAAAUGAAAACCAAAACAAAGUAAGUUAAAGUUGAGUCUGGACCACCAACCAUGACCACCAUUAUACCUCUUAAACUUAAUAUGAAAUCUAACCUUCAGUAACAGAAAGCACCUUCAAAUUCCCAAGGUGAUUGGUUCUGGCUUACUCAUAUGAACCCUUCUUCCAUUCGCCCUCCUAGCGUCCUUAAUGAAGGAGGAAUGCCAUUGGAACAAUGUUGAAAUCCUCACCCCAAAAAAGCUAGAAAGAACUACCUUCUCCAAGCCAGGUUUUAUGUAUAUUUACACAAAUCCUUUCACUUUGGGCCCUUUAACAUUGAAUGUGGGUGAAGGAAUAGACCCAAUAAACUUAGAGUUUCCCACCGAUACCAUGUAUGUUUUGCACAAGUAGGCCUAUCUUUGUGGCGUACGGUGGUUUGCCAUCACCAAUGUUGUUAUGAAACCGAUAAAACCCUAACUCUUGCACAUAUGAUGAACCUCUACUCCAAAAAGCAUUUUUUUGGGGUACGCUUAAUCUUACAAAAAUGCAUUCAUCAUUCUCUUCUUACCAACAUUGACAAUGACACUGACCAUGGAUGGAUAGAACGAUUCAUUAUUAUCGCUACCAGAGAUAUCAUCCAAACCACAACACUUCCUUUCCCGAAUCAUGAAAUUUUUUCCAUAAGUUUUUCGGUCAAUUUCUUCCUUUCAUUUUAAAAAGAAAUCUUCUUUCUUUUCUUACUUUUUAUUUUCUUUAUUCUAGCAACUCACUAAAAGCCCCAACCGAUCAAAGAUUUGGACCGCUGGGUACACAAUAUUCUGGAGAUCACUAUACCAAAAUCCUAAAGGAUGGAGGGAAUGCCUCUAAAAUAUGGGUGGAUAGCCAAAAUCAUGGUAAAUAAAAACUCUUCUUCCUUUAUUUAAACUUAUUAAUAUAUUCUGCUAACAAUUUAUCUAUCUUCUAGUGCCAAAUGGGACUUCCGAAGGGAUCCAUUGUGUUCCCCAACAUCAAAGCUCUUGAUGACCUAAGAGUGCCCUUAUACAAAGGAGGGCUCAUGAAUGUAGUCAUGCCUCCACUAAAGGUGCCUCCUAUCGGAGUCUUUAGUUAUAAGAUAAGCAACCAUAGAGGAAAUGUAUCUUCAUGGCUGGGACUCAGGAGAGAGAGUAAUAAAAUACCAACCAGACCAAUCAUAGCGGUCCUUGAUGAUGAAAAUGCCCCCCUUUAAAAGAAGAAAAAGAUCUUCAUUAAUUAAACUUGAUGCUCAACCAGUGGAGCUUGAAACCCAUCUCCAAAGGAAUUCCAAGAACUCUGGGAGGGGGGAGGGUGAAAUAGAAACAUACAAAAAUGCUACAUCUCAUUUUUGAAUUCCCACAAUUGUUUCUGCUUAAAGGAUUUCAAUUCCCGACUUUCCUCCACUGUAAAAUUUUAAGAAAAUAAUUACUUCCUCUGCAUCCACACCAACUGCUUCUUCUCCACUGACCCCAUUUGAAGAAGUAGGGAAUACCCCUUCUUCACAGUCUUCCAACCAAGAAAAUUUGACAAAUACUAAUUUGGUACCCACUCAAGACCCUCACGAAAAACAUAAUGCCAUUCUUUUGGUUUUGAAAGAGUGCCAUAUACUUUCCAAGCUGGUGGAUCUUGCCAAUUACCUGAAACCGUUGGCCUUCGGGAAAGAUUGGAUAAAGUAGGGCACUCUUUUUGUGGAGUGUCUGAUAUAAUAACAUGCAUUGUUCGGUGCAGGUAGCAAUCUAACUUCCUCCUAUCUUGUUUUAAUUUUUACUUCUCAUUAAUUACUUUAGUUCUAAACUUUUUCAUGCCAACCUUAUUAGUUCCAAGGACAUGCAAAGGAUGAUUUUGGACAAGUAAGAGAUUUCUUCAGAAUGAGAUCCACUUUUGAUUGAAGGAAUUAGCUUACCGAGCGCCUCUCGGUGGUGGAGGACAAAAUUGCUCAAAUGGAUGACCUCAAAGCCCGAUUGCAGUAGUCCAUACAAAAUAGGUCGGCUCACAGCUAAGAAUCUUCCAGAUAUAUGAAAACCUUACAGAACCAAAGCUUAAAUAGGUUGAUCUUCAUAAUAUAGUUACUGUUGCUGCCGAGCGUGAGUCUUCCUUUAUGUAACAAAUGAAUAACAUAGAGGCUAUCUUACGAUCCAGAACUGAGGAGGCCAAUACUGCCAAGGAGAAUAGAGGGAGAAUGGAGGAAAGACUCAAAAUGAUCAUGGACCAAACUCAACUCCAUUCAAGAAUCGAUUUCGAGCUGGACUCUAAAAUGAACAUUAUGAAAGUUGAAAAUGAAAAGCUCCAAAUCAAGAUUGAAAAAUUCCGAGCUAAACUAUAAGACCAUGAAGAUUGACUCAUUUUCGGGAAAACCUACACCAUUUAUUAUACAAAGAGGAAGACUUUGGAAUAGGCCAAAGAUGGCAUUCCUAACAUUGAUGAAUGUACUGCAAAAGCACAGGAGCUGGAUACAACUACUCACAAUAAUCUCCCUACUGGCCUAUCACUUCAGAUUCUUUGAAUACUAACUCCGAGUAAUCGACAACCGAUGGAGAGACUGAAUAAUAUGAAGUUCUCAAAUCGGAUGUGUAAUAACCUUCUCCUAAUAAAGAAAACGAAGGCUUUUUUUCUCCCUUUGGGGUUUGGUAGCAAGAACUGAUGUAGUUUUCAUUAUUUCAUGUAGUUGUGCCAAAACUUUCCAUUGGUUUGGCAAUUUAUUUAAUAAAAGAAACCUUUCACUUAAGUAUUUUGCAAGAAAAUAUUCUUUUUCACUAACCGACAAAGCGACAAAAAUCUUUUCAUAUUCUAUAGCUUUUGAUUCCAGGCAUAAACACUUCCAGAAUCUACCUUUUACUAUGAGAGUUUCUUAAGAGGGGACCCUCAUAUUUACGAUGACACGUUUCAUGUUCAUUCUGGCACAACCAUUUAAUGUUUUUUUUAACUGUCGAAUAAUAAUUUAAAUUAACUUAUCAUUCAGGCAAGAAUAAGAUAAAAAUAAAAGGACUUUGAUUUGUUCCCUCUAUCUUUACAAGUAUAUUUACAUAAAUAAUCAUUUUCUUGAGUAAAUAAAGGUUCCAAUACAUGUGGAUAACUUGUACAACUUAUUUCUGCGAGGCUGAUGAUGUAGUCCUCGGCCCGGAUAAGAAAUUGAUCCUGGUUCUACUAGUUCCCGGUCUUUAUAACACUUUAACUGCUUUGACAUGUAUUAUUCUCACAAAUGUUCGGAUUCUAAGUGUUAGAAUAAUAACACUGAAUUCUUGCAUUUGUCGAUGACACAUUGUAGCAUAUUUACAUUAUUUUCUAAUUAAUAGAAAUAACUCGGUGAUGCUUAAAUACUCUACUUCUAGAUUUUAAUGAGCCAACGAUUAUUUAACUAUCCACAAGUUGUUUUCCUCAUGCGUUAAUCCACAUAAAACUAUUUCUGGAAGUCCUUCAUUUGCCGAUGACCAUUCCUUCAUAGUAUGCUUUAUAUUGUUGCCUCAUUAAAAACAUUGCUUGAAAAAUCUAAUCUGGACAAAAGCUGGUCGAAAAUAAAAAGAGUGUAGAGCAUACAUUUAGUACUAGAAAUGAUAUUUGGCAAUAUUAUCUUCUUAGGUGGGUCAUAUUCCAAUUUCAUGGAAAUUUGACUUCAUCUUGAUCUUCCAAAUCAUACGAACAUUUAUUGGUUAUAGCUGAAAUCCGGUAAGGUCCUUCCCAUGCUGGUCCCAGGUUCGCAGCAUUAACGUUUCAAGUACUUUGAGUGACUUUUCAUAGAACCAAAUCUCCAACUUUGAAAUAUCAUAGAUUUUCUCUGCGGUUAUAAUACAUUUGCAUUUGUGCCACUAUCCUUACAUAUGGCAUAUCCCGGUUCUCUUCAAGAAAAUCUAAUUUAUCUGGCUAUAAUUCAUUAUUUGCUUUUUCAUUUUCUCGGGAAAAUGUUAUUGUCAGUUCCCCCACUUGUAGCGGUAUCAAAGCCUUUGAGUUGUAUACAAGUGAAGGGUGUUUAUAUAUGCUCGACUUUAUCGUGGCCCGGUAUGCCCAUAUCACACCCGGUAGCUCAUCUGGCAACUUGCCUUUAGCAUCUUCUAACUUAUUUUUAAGGUUUGAAUAAUUACCUUGUUAGUCGACUCAACUCUGCCCUUUAGCACUCGAGUGGUGUGGUAAAGAUGUAACUAGUUUGAUUUUCAACCCUUUCAAAAACAUUCUGAGUUUGGAACCUAUGAAUUAUUGUCCAUUGUCACAAUUAAUUUCCACUGGUAUUCCGAAUCGGAAAAUUAUGGUCCUAUAUGAAAUCGACUAUAUCUCAUUAUCCAAUCUUUUGGUAAACACAUUCUUCAACUAAUUUAUAAAAAUACUAAUUUAAAACCAAACGAAAUUUUACCUUACCAGGUUCCAGUGGAAAGGAACCGACUACGUCUAUCCCCUCAUUUCAUGAUGACUACGGUGAGACAACCGAAUGCAAAAGUUCUAUCGGUUGAUGCGCUAACUAUGCAUGGCACCAACAUUUACCACACUUUUGUAGAAAUAUCUUCGCAUAUUGCUAUAUCUGGGGUCAGUAGUAGCCAGCUCUGACUAACUUGACAAUUAAUUAUUCUGUACUAGAAUGAUUCCUGAAUACUCCUUCAUGAACUUCCAUCAUAACAUAGUCAAUCUUCGAGGCCAAUGGACAUAGAUCCAAUGUCCGCUGGAACAAUCUCCUGCAUAUCUGUCCAUUAAAAAGACAACAACGAGUCACCUUGGUCUGUAGUGCAAAGGAUUCUUUUAGAUCUUUUGGAAAUUUACCAUGUCUUAGAUAUUUAAUGAACUCAUUGCUCCGAUCCCAUAAUAAGUUGGUAGAAUUAAUUUAAUAGUUGUCCUCUACAUCUAACACCGAAUAUAGUAGUUGAAAGAACACACUGGAAUUAUAUCCCUCCAUCUCUAUGGAUGAACCCAAAUUGGCCAAUGUGUCUGCCUUCAGAUCUUCCUCCCAUGGAAUGUGGAUGAUUGACCACUCUCUGAAUCGUGAAAGAAAUGAUUGAACCUUGUUCAAGUUCUAUUUCAUGUGCUACUCCUUGGUGAAAAAAGUUCUAUACACAUGGUUUACCACCAGCUGGAAUCGCUUUUUAUCGCGAUGACCUUGGAACCUAGUCCCCGAGCUAGUUCAAGUCUUGCAACCAAAACCUCGUACUCAGCUUUACUAUUACAUAGUGGUAAAAUUCUAAUGGCCUUCCCUAGGGUUCCCCCCAAAAUGAGUGAUUAAAAUUACGCCGAAACCUGACCAUUUUGUGUUGGACGCUCCAUUAAUUCUGAAUUGAAAUCAGUCACGAAGUCGGCCUAAAUUUGUUAACUUUAUUGUAGUCUUUUGCUUGUAUUCAAUUUCGAGUUCACUAAAUUCGACUACCUACUUAGCCAAAUGACCUGACAACUCGGGCUUAUGAAGGACAUUCCUUAAUAGAAAGUUGUCACAGUGGCAAUUAGAUGACGUUGAAAAUAAGGUCUAAGCUUUUAAGAGGCAACUACGAGAGCUAAGGCGAGCAUUUAAACAUGCGGAUAGCGAGUUUCCGCUCCUGAUAAUAUUUUACUAAUAUAAUAAAUGGGAAAUUGCAUACCAUCUUCUUCUCGAACAAAAACUGCACUUGCCGCUACUUUUGAGAUUGCCAUAUAAAUCAAUAGUUGCUCACCUUUUCCCGAUUUUUACAACAACGGAGGGCCAGAUAGGUACCUUUUUAAGUAUUUAAGUGCAUGUUGGUAAUCCGCUGUCCAUGUAAUGUCAUUCAUCUUUUUCAAAAGAAAAAACAAAGUGAUGGAAAUUUUCCGAAGACCUCGAGAGGAACCUUGUUAGAGCCACCAAUAUUACGGUCCAUAUCGUUAUUCCUUCACGCAUGUCAGCUAGUAUGAGAUAUUAUCGAUGGCAUUGAUUUUUUUUUGGGUUUAACUUGAUUCCUCUUUAGGAGACCAAAAACCCUAGGAACUUAUCGGAACCCACUCCGAAGGCAUACUUCUUUAUGAUGAGAUUCAUGUUGUACUUUUUCAAAAUAUCAAACUCCCUUAGAGAUGUUCUAGAUGAUCUCCUGCAUAAAGAGACUUAACUAGCAUGUCGUCGAUAUAAACAUCCAUCAUCUUACCUAUCUAUUUUUGAAAUAUCUUAUUAACGAGCCUCUGAUAAGUGGCUCCCGUAUUUUUAAGCCCAAAAGGCAUCACAUUAUAACAAUAUGUGAAAAAGUUUGUGAUGAUAGAAUUCUUCUUUUGAUCUUCUAGGUCCAUCAUAAUUUGAUAAUACCCAAAAUGAGCAUCAAGAAAACUCAUUUACUCGUGCAUGGCUGUAGCAUUGGUCAUUUGGCCAAUGUUUGGCAACGGGAAGAAGUCUUUGGGGAAAAGCUUAUUUAAAUUCUUAUCAUCUAACACAUCCUAAAUUUUCUAUUCUUUUUAGGAACUACUACAUUAGUUAGUCGCUCCGAGUACUUUUCUUCUUGAAUUGAACCGUUGUUAAGUAAUCAGGUUACCUAUUCCUUAACAAACCUAUUUUUGACCUUUGCUAUCAGUCGUUUCUUCUACCUUACCAAGGGGAAGUUUGGAUCCAGGCUAAGCUUGGAGACAUUCAAAUCCAUUGGAGAACCUGUCAUAUCUGAAUACAACCAUUCAACACAAUCAGUAUAAGAUAUAAGAAAAUCUAUAAGUUUCAACUUGAGUCCGAGACUCAACCCCGCUCCUAAUAAAAAUUUUCUUUCUAGAAAUUCUACAAUCAAAACCACUUGUAUGAGCUCUUCUGCACUUGACUUGGUCGCAUCCAACUCCUCUAGUACAUGAAAAGACUUUUGUUCCUGAUAUAAUUUUGAUGACUUCUCAUUUUAUCAUCUACAAUUGGGAUGGGAGAAGGCGUUGGUUCCUGUAAUUUCUAUUUGCUGGUUUCUUUGCCCUUACUGCUGGAAAUGGUUAUUGUGUUCAUCUCCCUAAUAGCCGGUUGAUCUUUUCUUAUCUUCUUGAUCCCUUCUAGUGUUGGAAACAUUAACAAUUAAUGGUAGGUUGACAGUACAACCUUCAUUUCAUGUAUCAACUGUUUCCCAAGGAUUACAUUACAUUAUAGACCAUGUCGCCAUUUAACACUUUGAACAUGGUGUUCUUUGCUACACCUUCACCAUGUGUGGGCAGAAAUAUUUCUCCUCGGAUUGUCAUACUUGUUAUGUUGAAGCCAGCUAAAAGCUUUGUUUUUGCAAUGAUGUUCCCUAUUAAGUUUGCUUGCUCCAGAUCUCUCCAUUGUAUGAUGUUGGCUGAACUUCCUGGAUCAACAAAAACAUGCUUAGUAUUAAAAUCUAAAAUAUCAAAAGAAAUUACUAAAGCAUAAUUUUGCAAUAUGAUAACUCCACCGGCAUCAUCCAUCGUGAAGGUGAUGUCAUCUUUUGAAAUUUAUCGGAUCCUCUUGCCACAAGUCACUGAUUUGUCUUCUUUGCUGCCAAAAAUAUCACCCCGUUUACUUUUUCUCCUUCGAAGAUCAUGUUGAUUGUCAUUCGAGGUAACAAUACUGCUGGUUUUAAUAGUCGUGCAAUAUCCAUGUUUCUCCUAUAGUUGUUUUGGUGCCACCGUUUAACAAUUCCAUGAGGUGACCAUUCUUCAACAAUAUUUUCACCUUUUCAUGAAAAUGUCGGCAGUCCCUAGUUCUAUUGUCGUGAGUCCAAUAGAAUUCUGACCAUAGAUUAGGAUUCGAUCAGAUCGAUUUCAGGAACCUAAAUUCUUUAAUAUUUCUCAUAGUUGACACUAGUUCUACUACGGUGAUAUUCAAAUUGUCAUUGAACAACCAGGGAUCUUAGGAUUGUGGCACAUUUUUCUCCUACAACGAUCUCUUACUUUGACCAUGAGCUUUCCUUCUAUCAGAAAUAAACCUAUUCGAUGACUGGAAUCCUUUAUUAUCAUUCUGUUUGGCCUUCACAUUAGGCUGAAAAUCACUUCUAGAGUGUAUUCGAUCUGUAUCAAAAUCACUUUUCAACAUAUCUUAAUUUCAAUCAGGAUUUCGUCCUUUGAAAGACACUGGGGAACCAAGUUGAUCAUCUUCACUUCUGAUGGGAUAUUGAAUAUUUGUCCAAGUGGUUAGCCUAAACUUCGAGCAAGCUUUCCUUCAAUUUUUGUGAGGUGUCGGAGCUCAAUAGGUUGAGACACUUUUGUAGAUACCUCCACUGCCCACUCAUCUUCAAUCGUAGGUAACAACAUCCUUUCUUUCCGAAAACAGAUCAUGAAGUCUCUUAACAAUUCAGUUUUUUCUUAGGAUAUCAUAAGUAUAUCCGCCUUCCUUGCUUGGACAUUUCUUGCUCCAGUGUUAUCUUUGAUAAACAAAUUCGCAAGCAUUACAAAAGGGUCAAUAGAAUAUUAUUACCAGGCUAAGUCAGCAUUAGUAAGUGUUUCACCAAACUUCUUCAACAAAAUUGAUUCGAUGUAAUGUUUCGGCCAAGUUGUUUCCCUUUAUUGUCGUAGUGUAGGUCAUGAUGUGCUAUUGUGUAUCCGGAGUCACAUCAUAUUUUAGUAUAUCCAACAUCUAAAACCUCCUUGGAAUUAACUUAGGUGUCGCACUUAGUUUAAACAGCAACUGCAUAUACUUCUUUAAAUUUGAUCCUUUUAACAUGGGCGACACCAUCAUGAUAUGAUCAAUCCGAAUACAUUUGCAUUCUAAUCCAUUUAUUAAUUUGUUUCUCUCAUUAAUCUCAUGAGCUCGAUUUUGAAAGGGUCAUUUAAGAACAUCUUCGUAAAUUCACUACUGGUACCUCCGACCUCAUCGAAAUAGACCUCCCCUCUUGGUGUAUCGUUACUAGUUCCUUCAAUCGUUUGCUUUACGAGAACGCUAGGAGGUACCAGGUCCCUUCCAUUAGAAUUAUUAGAAGCUCUAUAUAAUUCCUAUUUUAAUUUUGUCAUCGUCCAAUCUUGACAUGAGAGGCUAUCCAUAAUUGCCUUUUUCUGUUGCCUCAAGAUGUCGACUAUUUCACAACAUGCUCAUCAUCUGCAUCAUCAAGAGUUAGGCCCUACACACGCCGAGGAUACAGACCUUCGCGAACUAGGUUGUUUCAUCCCUUUCGCUGCGGGUCUCACUGAUAGAAUCCUCAUGCAUGAACACAUCUUCCUGUUCACCGUGUUCUCUAACAUUGAAAACAGUGUAAAUAUCAUUAACUGCCAUACCUUAUCUUUCUUUUGCUAUGGAAGGAAUCAAAAUUUGCUAGUAACAGAUAAAUAGAUCAAAGCAAUUACACAAUUGUCAAUGCCCCACAGUAGAUGCCAAACAGUUUACCCAUAAAACGGUAUAAUUACAUUUGUAACGUAGUUUAUAUACAAAUAAAUCGAAUUGGUCCUGAUGUACGAAAACAAUAAUAACCGAAACAAGUAUACGAAAUAAACUAAGGGAAACACAAGCUCGAGUAGGAAUUUAGCGCUUUUGAUGGAAAAAAUGAGAACAAUAUUCAAGAACAAAGACUUAGAACAAUAUUAUAAAAUAGGAGCAGAAUAUAUUUUUUUUUUGGGUACAAAAUGUUUAUGCCCCUAAAAUGGAUGCUAAUCAUCCUACUUACAACUCUAUUCAGGAAGACAAGAUCCCCAAAUCAAGCUCCUCUUAAGUAAGAAUAAAACCGUCAUUGAUGGCUGCAUAAUUAUUGGCCAUAAAUGCAUAUAUUCCUUGUAACGGUUGCUCAUUGAAUGUUAUCCGAUGACAAUGCUUUGAAUCUUCAUUAUUAAUUGGUUACUCUGUCUUCGGGUUUCAUUCAACAUCGAUUGCAUGAUUACAUCUGGUGUCAGCUAUUUGCUGACUCAUGUCCAACCUAUCUUUUGUUCCACGCAUCACUUCGUCAUUUGCCCAGCUAUUAUUAACAGAUUUUGCCCCAUACUGGUGUAGCUUUGACAAUCGACACACAACAGUUGAGGCUCUCUAGUAUUUUGAGGCCAAAGGGACAGACAUAUAGCAAUAGCGGAUCUACACAUGCAAUUUGGGUGCUCGAGCACCCAUUAACCUCGACGCAGAGUAUGUAUAGUUAUAUAGAAAAUUUGAGAAGACAUAUAAAAGUUUUAAAAAGCACCAAUUAAUAUUAUGUACAAAAAAAAGUUCAGCACCUACAAACUUGAAUUUCUAGAUCCGCCACUGCAUAUAUAGGACUAGGACUAAAUCCGUAUUUCCGAAAAAAACUUAUAUACAUAUGAUGCUUAAUUCAAAACAUAAGAAAAUGGUAAUUUGUAUUCCAAAGACUAAACAUCAAUCCUGCCACGAUAUUUGAGUUUUGAAGGUUACGUGGGUGGUAUACAUAAGUUCGUUACUCAUCUUCAAUUGACAUGUCAUUUUUUGUUGUUUCUAUGGUCACUUCAUGUUCUUUGUUGCAUUAUAGUGUUUGAUCUAAUUCUUAAUAUUAGCUAGAAUAUAUAUAUAUAUAUAUAUAUAUAUAUAUAGUUAGUUAGUUAAAGCGGUUAAUGAAAAAGAAAAAGUUCGAUAUCACUAAACAACUCAAUAAAUGAAUAUGCAUGCGAGUCAUCUAUCAUAUCCGUAUAACAAUUAAGCAUUGGUUGAUUUUCGCCACUUGGAUUGAAAAAUCUACGCAAAAAACUUCCUUCAUGCAAAGAGGUGUGAACAUUGGAUUAGAACUCGUACACACUGGACAAAAAAAUUAGUCCCCACAUCAACUAACUCAAGUUCCAAACUCAUAGGCUAGCUAGCUAUAACAAACGCUUAUAAAUACCACUCAAUAUAAACAAGAGAAAACAUCCCAACAGCACCCAAGUAUCUUGUACUACUACUUUUUCAAAACUCAUCUACCAUCACUUUUAUUACAAAAAUGGCUGAAGAGAAGAAGCACCACUUUGGUCUCUUCCACCACAAGGACAAGGAGGAAGACAAAACUACCUAUGGAGAAACACCAUAUGGUGGUGAUACUGAAAAAACUACCUAUGGAGAGAAUACAUAUGAAGAGAAAACUAGUUAUGGUGGGGGAGAUAACUAUGGGGAUAACAAAUAUGGUGAGAAACCUGGCAAUGGAGAAAGUGGAUAUGGAGAGAAAACUAGUUAUGCUGAGGGAGGUAAGUAUGGAGAUAGUGGCUACGAAAAAAAGACUACCUACGGAGAUAGUGGCUAUGAAAAUAAGACUAGUUAUGGAGACAGUGGCUAUGAAAACAAGACUGGAUAUGGAGAUAUUCCAUCUGAAACUACCUAUGGAGAGAAAACUAAUUAUGGUGAAGGAGAUACCUAUGGAAAAGCUGCUGCCCACUCAUCCGAGACCACUAAUUUUGAAGAGAAUACUGAUGAUGAAGGCAAAACUGGUGAGGAUUAUGAGAAAGAGAAAAGGCACCACAAGCAUCUUGAACAUGUGGGAGGGCUUGGGGCUGCUGCUGCUGGUGCCUUUGCCUUGGUAAUUUUUCCUACAAUGGUUUUAUGUUACAGUUUUAACUUCUAUAAUGUAGUGUAAGUAAAGUUACAAAAUUCAUUUAUCUCGUUAAAGUUAUUAAACUUUGUCUAUUAUAUCAGCUAAGUCACAAAAUUAUUUGUUGUCUCAUAAAAGUCAUUGAAAAUUGGUUAGUUGUCUGGAAAAUACAAUUCACUAGAAAGUCAAAUUUUCAUAAAAAUUUAUAAUAGUAGCCAAGAGAAUAAGACAAACUACUACUCUUUCCGGAUCACUUCAGGUGAAGGUAUUUAACUGGGCACGAAAUUUAAGAAAUAAAUUAAAUUUUUAAAACUUGUGUUCUAAAAUAAUUCAUAAAAACUAGUUUGGCUUCAAGUUAUCACAUUAACGGUAAAAGGAGAAAUUAAAUUAACUGUUAUUAAAUAUAGAAAUGUGUCAUUCUUGCUAAGACAGACCAAAAAGAAAAGAGCGUCACAUCAAAUUAAUUAAAAUAGUCUUAUAGUCAAAUAUUAUGGGUCAAUUUGAAGAUAAUUUUUAUCUUUACUCUACUGUAAAAAGACUUUACACUAUCAGUCAGUCAUCUAGAAUGAUCAAUAGAGUUGUGAACUAUUCCAUUUUGUUUCCUCCAUAUAUUUUGGCAUGGAAAUUUCAGCAUGAGAAGCACAAGGCAGAGAAAGAUCCAGAACAUGCACACAAACACAAGAUAGAAGAAGAAAUAGCAGCAGCUGCUGCAGUUGGGGCUGGUGGAUUUGCAUUUCAUGAGCACCAUGAAAAGAAGGAAGCCAAGGAAGAAGAAGAGGAAGCUGAGGGAAAGAAGAAACAUCAUUUCUUCUAAUUUUCUCCUGUUAUAUAUUUACCUCUCUUUAAUUUGUUUUCUUCUAAAAUAUAAGUUAUGAGCUUCGUGUGCUUGCUCUAUCCUCUAAUACUGAGCACCUAAAUAAUCUGUGUGUGUGUGAGAGAGAGAGUGAUCUUCCGAUUGAUGUAAGGGUUUUACUUCUAUAUCUUGGUGUGGUUUAAUUAUGUCAUGUACAUGUUGUUCACUCUGCAGUGUGAAUAAUACUAUACCUUUUAAUGCAAUAUUUUUGUCUUAAUAAUAUGAUACAGGAAAGAAAAAACUGAUGUCUUUACUCUUUCAUUUGAGGCAAAUAAAAAGCGCUUUAUUCUUGUACCAACUAUCCCGUUAAAAUAUAUGAGCAACUUAAAAUAGGGCAUCAAUAUAUAUAUAUAUACUCGUUCUUUUAUUUUUUGGUUUCUUUUCAGGAAGGGAUAUGGCUGACGCUCGUUCGUCUUAAAUGUAUCACGUAAAUCGGAAACAACUCUCUUGAUUUGGACUAAAAACGAAUAAUAUCCACAUAUUUGUGGUUGUGAAACCUUUAUCUAGUUUUUUCAAAUGGUGACUUUGAGUGUACAUGAAAUCGAGGUCGUACAAUAAAAUUAAAAUCAAAAUUGUGUGUCACCAUUGAUGGGGUUUGAGAUCACAAGUGUCCCGUAUUAUAAACUACUUUAACAUUAUGGCACCACAUAUCUUGAAAUAAAUCUUGAUAUUUGUCAAUUGUCCAUUUCUUGUAUAUAUUUAUAGGUGUAUCCUUAUAGAUAUAGUUUAAGUAUGGCUAAUAAUUACGGUUCUACUACAACUAUUUAUAAGUUAUCUUAGAAGUUAAUGAUUAAUUUAGAAAUGACUUGUAGUCUAGAGUCAAUUAAUAAUUUUGAAUAUUUUCCCGUUUCUCGUAGCAUAUAUAUAUAUGAUUCAAGACUUGAAAGUUGAGGAUGUACGUUUAGAUUCAGUCAAAAUCUGUUCUGUAUGUAAGGUGCUCAAUCCUAAUAUAUAUAUAUAUAUAUAUAAUGUAAAAGUGCAUCGUCGGCCUUCCAAUCUCGAAUCCGUAUGACUUUAGCACAAGUAAUAAUUAUGGUCCUACUACAACUAUUCAUAGAAGUCAGUAAUUUAGAAAAAACUUGUAGUCGUGUGUCAAUAAUUAAUGUUUGCAUUUAGUGUCAAUAAUUAAUGUUUACAAAAUGCGCUACUCCUUGUUCUCUUAACCGAGGAGGUUUCGUUAUUAUAAAGUUUGAAUUUGUAGAGUGCACCAUUGUUAAUGACUUUUGACAAAUGACUAAAAAUGCACAAUUUUGAAUAUAGUUUCAUAUCAUUUUGUGGUGAGAGUUGGGAGAUCAAAUGUUUACAAACGUGAAAUAUGUUCAUUAUGUGCUUACUGUGUGUAUGAACGAAUUUGAAUGAAAGUUGGUAAGUGUCACGACCCAAACCCAGUCGUGAUGGCACCUAGCCCUAAAGCUAGGUAAGCCUGACCAACAUUCGCUUUCUAUUAAAUACUGAGUCUCAAAAUCGGCAGUUUAAGAAUAUUAUAGUAAUUUAAAAUAGUUAUCCGAUAAUGAUAAUAAUAAAAUAUUACGAAAUUUGAAUAAUCAUUCCCAAAAUACUUGGGUCACGGAGCUAUUUGAGCGAUUUGAAUCGUGUUUUCAACGGGUAUUGAUUGGAGGUAAUUCUCUUGACUUAAGAACACCAUUUUUAGGAAGAAUCAACCCUCGAUUCCAUGAAAUUGUGAAGAACUAUGGCUUAGUUUUUGGAAAUAAAAUUUAGGGAUUGAAAAGUCAUUCGAGCUCCGUUCUCGACAAAUAUUAUAUGUAUUGACUCGUGGCGAGACGAGGAAUCCAAAGAUGUAAGUUUGAGAAUUUUUCGAGGAGAGGGCCCGGGGCUUGAGUUUUAUCCACUUCGUGAUUUUUAGCAUUUUUCGAAUUAUUUCGAUUUUGUUAUGUUUAUUUAGCCUAUAAUAACCUAUUCGUUGUGCUUUUGACUAGAUUCGACGCUCGUAGAUAUAGAUUCAAUGGGAAAAGGCAUUGCGGACAAAUGUACGACCGGUUAGAGGUUAGUAUUUUGUAUAGAUGAUGGCCUGGGGGUAUGAAACCCCACGCUUAUCACAUCGUGCCGCUAUGUUAGGGCGUGACUCGCACCCCAUGGCAGGUGCGGGAUGGUAUAUGGUUGGGGAUUGGUUAUGUUUAUUUUGCAUAUAAUAACCUAUUCAUUGUGGUUUUGACUAGAUUCGACGCGUGUAGACGGAGAUUCAAAGGGAAAAGGCAUUGCGGACCAAUCUACGGCCAGUUAGAGGUGAGUAGUUUGUAUAGAUGAUGGCCUGAGGGUUUGAAACCCCAACUUAUCACAUCGUGACGCUAUGUUAGGGUGUGACUCGCACCCCAUGGAAGGUGCGUGAUGGUAUAUGGUUGGGGAUUGUGACUUGGUCCAUCCCGAGAGCUAAAUAUAAAUUAUUGGCGGCUGAUACACAUAUUGUGUUGUUGAUAAUUGAGCUUAAUGUCAUGUUUCGGGCCUUGUUCCGGCCUGUAGUACUCGACUAGGGUAAAUAUCUGUGUGAUGGCAUGAUUCGUAUAAUCACUGAUCUCAAACAUGUGCUUACUUCCUGUAUUAAAUGCUAAGUCACCUUAGUUCUGAAAUGGACUAAUUAAAUUAUAUUAACCUUGAUAAUUGGAAACUGGCAGACAAUCAGAUUGAAUCUGUUAUGUGACUUACAUGCAUACUGUGUACUGAGGAUGGAUCGGCCUGCACGCUGCGGAGGUUAUAUAUUGAUAUUGAGCUUGGGCUGAAGGAGCCCCUCCGAAGUCUGUACACACCCCCAGUGAGCGCCGCCGACGAUAAAUAAAUAUAGAUGGCUCGGGCUGCACGCCGCAGCGUAUUCAUAUGCAUUGCAUUGCAUUUUUUAUCUUAUACUUGACUGUUAUAUUUGAAAUUGUUUUGUUGUUAGUUCGUACCUAAGGAAUAAGACUGUUAGAUUUAGCUUUGCUUUGUGGCGCUUCGUGGAUUUCUUACUUUCAGAUAUUUUUCUUUGAUCAUUAUUCACUGAGUCAGUAGUACUCACCCCUACUCCCUGCACCAUGUGUGCAGAUUCAGGUACACCGGAGGCUUAGCUGAUACUCAUAGUCUCCAGAGAUUUCCAGAGUCGUUGAGGUAGCUGCAUGACGUUCCCAGGACCUGGAUGCUCUUCAUUUUUCUGGUUUAUUAUUAUUACAUACAUUCUAGAUUUUAUUAUUUCCAUCCAGAUAUUAUUAUCCAAUUUGGUUUAGAGGCUCUAGACUCGUGACCCCAGAUCUUUGGGAGUGAUUGUUUAGAUUUCGUAAUAUUCUAUUGUUAUUAUCGGAUAACUAUUCUAAAUUACUAUAAUAUUCUUAAACUAUCAAUUUUGAGACUCGGUACUUAAUAGGAAGCGAUUAUUAGUCAGGCUUACAUAUCUUUAGUGUUUGGUGCCAACACGAUCGGUUCUGGGUCGUGACAAUUUAGUAUUAGAGCCUAGGUUACUAGGCCUCACGAGUCAUGAGCUGGUUUAGUAUAGUCUUGCUUAUGGGUGUGUCGUGCACGACACUUAUAAGCAGGAGGCUACAAAACCUUUAGGAAACACUCCACUUUCUUCAAAUCUUAUCAUCCAUCCCUGAUUCAGCUUGGAAGAGUAACAAUUGAAAUUCCUUCCAAGUUUUCACAUGCACACAUGAGUGCUAGGUAUUAUAUGUUCUUCGAUGGCUUGUGAUUCUCCGAGCGAGGGGCGAGAUGUAAUCUUCAUGAAGUUGAUAUUGGGCCAGUUUGGAGGACUUGAGUCCGGGCCUUUCCUUGGGAUAAGCAUUGAGGUGCUGAUUAUAUGCUCAAGUGUUUUGAACGUAUAUGUUCGGCAUUCUCACUAUUAGCCGGAAUGGCAGUUUAGUGAUCGUGUGAUAAGUAUUCUAGUACUGCGAGAUACAAUUAUAUGUCUUGGUUGUUACGAAGGAGUAUGCUAGCUAAUGGAUGAACUGUCAAGUGAUUCGUUUCCUAUGGUGGUCCGAUGAGUAGCCCGAGUUGUGGGUGCGUGAAGAAUUUUUUCGAGUUGGUUGUUACGAAGGAGUAUGCUAGCUAAUGGAUGAACUGUCAAGUGAUUCGUUUCCUAUGGUGGUCCGAUGAGUAGCCCGAGUUUUGGGCGCAUGGACAAUUCAAGUCUCCUAGUGGGAGUGAAGUAAAUUUCAUAAUAGGAGAUGAGUUUAGACUCAAGAAGAUUUAGUAACUGUGUAAUUUCUACGAUGAUAAAAGGUAUAUAGAUAUGUUAUAUUGUAUCAAAAUAGGUGGGUUAUCUCCUGCGGAGUGUUCUGAAGUGAUGUAGUUCCUAUGUAUAUUGUGAGAAGACUUCAUGUGUAACUGGAAGGUAUUUUCUUUGUAUUAGGAUUCAAAUAGGCACAACGCAUGCCCAUGUAUUAAUUUUUUAUGAUAUAAGUCAUGUAGUAUUGAGAUUAAUGUUGUUGAGAUCCAUUGUGAUGCUUGGUCAAGUUGUGGACGUGCUGUUAGGAUGGUUUUGGUGAUUCUGUGGUAAGUAGAUAGGAUCAGUUACAAAGGAAACUAUGCCGAAAUAUUUGAAAAAUUAGGGACUUUGUAAAGAAUUUUGUCGCCCAAAGAGUGGGCUCAACUGUUAGGUGGAUGAAUGCAAGAAUUGCAGAAGAGUUAAAAUUUCUGAUGAUUCGUGUUUCCACAAGCUUAUGAAAGAGUGAGUUUAAAACUCACCAUGAUGUUACGAUAGUAAAAAAGUAUAUGUGUUGUAGUAUAUAUGGCUUCAAGCUAAGUUGGGGAGGUUGGCGUUGAUUAGUUGAUUGUACGAUUAGGUAAUAUGUUAGUUACGAUUUGAUACAUGUCGGCAAAACAAAUGUGGUUGUAGAAAUUUAUCCAAGGGUGGCACGAGUGAAGCUAAAUUUCAUAAGAGGUUAUAUGAUGCUUAGUAGAUGUGAGAAAAUAAUAGGAUGUCUUGAGUUGAUUAUAGAAAACAGAAUGAGGUUUUUUGGUUGUAUCGAAAUGAGAUCAUGUCUUGAGGUGUCAGAGUGCUGAUAAGGCAUGAGUGGUUUGAUUCGUUAAGUCAAGUAAUUUGCAGUGGGUAUAAGGGUGGAUGACUCUUGGGAAUGAUUUUGAUGUGUUGAAAAUUCAAUAUGUAGCACUCAGAUAUAUUAAGGUUGAGUAGAUGACCAAGUCAGUGUUUUCAUUAGAACAAGUCAACACUUGUGGUAAUUUACAUUAAUUACGGGAUUCUAUGUAUUAGUAUCUGGGAAGUAAAGGUAGCGGACUUAGUUUCGCAGGAAGUUCUUCAAAGUAGGGUAUUUUGGAAGUGGAAUUUUUUGGAAUGUUUGAGAGAGUGUGUAGUAGCCUAUUUGUCUUAGACAGUGUGGUCUUAGGUUCGAGUCUUGUGUGGUAAGCCCGGGAUUAGGCAUUAUGGUGCUACAACAAGAGGGUAUAUCAAGAUGAAAAUGAAUCAGAAGGAAAUACAGACAAAUGAAGUAGCUUGUUAGCGGAUCAAAUCGGUGUGGUCAAGAUAUGAUUGAUUCUAUGUAUGUGUUCGGAGUGAUGAUUUUAUACUAGCAUUGAGCAGUGAGGCUCGUGAGUUUGACACUCUUCAUGGUUUGGUUCAGUUAGAGGGAUCUAGUCCAGGCAGUUUAGCAUGUGCAAAUGGAAUUGGGAGAUAAUUCUUGUUCGGUUUCAUGAUGGGUUGGAAAAGUAUAUUUCCUAUGGUAUGCGAAGCAUGGACUAAGUAAUAGUUUUUUUUUCUAUAUGGGAUCAUGAAAGUUCUUGACUAGUUAUGUGUGUCGAUGUCUGCGGCGCAAGAGUGACAUAGAAGGCCUCAUGUUAUCCUAUUGUGGUAUGGUCUAUGUGUUAUGAUAUGAAGAAUUGAGAUUUGCGUGUUCAAGGUUUUGGUUCAGUCAUAAUGAGGAGUCAUUAAAUUCAUAAACAGCAUCGGCAGUUGCAGGUGAAUUAAGAGUCGAUCUUCAGAUGAUUAAGGAAGAAGAUAUUGAUAUGAUAGUGAUGUAGCGGGGGUUUAUGUUAAGAAAAGGGGGCAAGGUAAUGAAAAACUUAUUAUAUUUGGUGGUAUUGAGGUGUUCUCUUGUUGGAUAUGCUAUGAUAAUUGAGUUGUUGAUGGCACGGGGAACAAUUUUGAAUAUCUUUCGUGGAAUGAAUGUGUAAUUGAUGUGUAAUAUGUAUUCCUAUGGCGGAACGUGGGACGAGGUAUAGUGGUUUGUAUGUUAUAUGUAGUUGGAGACAGGGAGUUCUCCGGUUCAGUCGAUGUAGUGGUUAUGGAUUGUGUGCAUUGGAACCAUAAGUGGCUAUUGGGGCUGGGAAGCCCGAAUGGAUCUUUAUUUGUUGAUAUGUUAGAUUUUUGACAUGAUGUUAGGGGUAGACUGGUUGCCUCAGUGUUAGGUUAAUCUAGACUAUUGUGUUAUGGGCUAUGCCGGAGAAUGCCACAGGUUGCGUGGCGAGGUGUAUCGGACUAUGUAUCUUUAUUUGUUGAUAUGUUAGAUUUUUGACAUGAUGUUAGGGGUAGACUGGUUGCCUCAGUGUUAGGUUAAUCUAGACUAUUGUGUUAUGGGCUAUGCCGGAGAAUGCCACAUGUUACAUGGCAAAGUGCAUCAGACUAUGUUCUAGUGGAAUGGUUAGGUUCCAAGGACCAGCAGACGGCUGGUAGAAGUUACUUUCUGUAAUUUUUCCUUUGAGGUGGGAGGCAGUGUAGAGGUUUCUACCAGUGAUUUAGUUCCCGCAUUAUGGGACUUUUCGAAUGCGUGUUCCAGUUUGAGUCAACUCGGUUGGUUUCGAAUUGUAUUGUCGAGGGAUAAGUUGACUCGACUAUUGAUGAGCUUAUCAGCAAUCUAGAGAGAUCUAUGAGUUGUUUUCUACGUUGCGAGACAUUAUGAUUUACGGACUAUGGGCACAUAUGGUACAGCGCUAUCGAGAUUCAUAGUGGAAGUUGAGUUUUGUAGCUUACACCUCCAUAGGUAUACAUGCUUAAGUAUUCAGUGUGCUUGCGAUCGAUACUCGGUACUCUGUAUUAUGAGCAAAUUCGGCUCGAUGUGCAUCUCCAUAAGUGAGAUAGUGUAGUGGAUCGGGUGACACGCCACCACAGGGUAUGUUUUCUGGAUCGAGUUGCGUGCCACAACAGUGUGCCGUUGAGGAUAGUAACCGUGUGUUACUUUGUAUUCCUUGUUUCUUGGUUUCUAAAGAAAGUCUGUAUUAGGAGUUGCUCGGUGAAUAGCGCAUCGACUGGGUUAUUUCAAGAUUGAAUGGUGUAUAUAACUCUCUUCACCGUGGGUAUGAUGGAUUGCUUGAGUUCGUACAUCAAUGUGUCUGUGGUUGUCAAGUUCGAGUGUAAUGACUCGAGGUGCUUCAAAGUGGAAUGGUGUUGCAUGAGAUCGCGCAUUAUAACGAGGCUACUUAUGGAUUACACCUUUCUCGAAAGGUUUUGGUAUUCUAUUCCUAUGAUGAGAUUGUGUUGUAACGAUAUUGAUUAGCUUAAGGUGCAGCUCUUUCAUUUGAGUUAUUUUCACGACUUAAGUAUGUUCAGAUCGUCUCUUAUUGGUGUGUGCAUUAUGUAAGUUGGGGCUUAGGCCUUAUUGAAGUGUCAUGUCACCAGUAUGGUGUGUUUGAUCAUAAGAGACCUUUGGGGUAAUUAAUGGGUACGAACGGAUUUGGUUUCAUCUUGUUAGAAGGUUAAUAUCGAGUUUCAGCUCGGAGAUGUGUAGUGGUAUUAGUCAAAGGGGAAGCGAUGUCUUCGUGAAUGGUUGAUCUGAGAAAUGGUUAUGGUCUACUGUGUGUUCAUUAUCAUUGAUAGAGUAUAUCAGUGUUGGGAUAUGACUCGAGCUAAUAAUGGGUUUCUAACGGUACAUGUUGUGUGGACAGCUACUGUGGAUAUAAAUUAUCAUUUCGAGUGUUAGGAUUAUGCGGUAUAUCAUUUGAGUGCACCCAAGGUUUCAAGUAUGGGUUAUUACAGAUGGAUUAGGAUUAUUCAGAGUAUAGGUGUGAGGUUCUGAUCUUGUGUAUGGUUUCAGAGGUGCAAUGUGACUCUAUGGCUAUGGUCUAGAGGGCUGUGAAAUAUUAGAUAUAUUGUAUUAUCGGGCAUAUGUGAGUUAGGGUGACGUGGGAUCACCCCGGGUAUAUGAUUAGUAAGGUCAUUUGGAGAUUGCUUGGAUCCUAGUGUAACUCUGGGCAUGCUCGAGGACAGGCGUUUGUUUAUGUUGGGGAUGAUUUAACGACCUGACCCGUCGUCCCCUCAGUUACCGCCCUAUUUUCCCCAUUUUAUUCUUUUUAUAUGUUUCAACAUGUGUUUGGAGAGUUGGAACUAAUUCGGAUGGAGUUUAGGUAUAAAUGAGACAAUUAGCCUCUUUAUAAGAAAGUUACUUUGGAAAAGUAAACCGAAAGAUAACUUAUGAAUUAGAGGGCUCAGAACGGGUUUCCGAUGAUUCGACUAGUUUCGAAUGGUGAUUUGUGACUUGGGAGAGAAAUUGUAUCUUAAUUUGGAGGUCUGGUGUAGAAUUAGGCUUGAAUUGGCUAAGUUAUAAUUUUGCUGAUGUCCGGUUGAUAGGUGUGAUUUAAUCUACGGGUCGGAAUGAAAUUCAGACAAUUGCAGUACCUCCGUUAGGUGAUUUUGUAUAUUCGUGCAAAUUUUCAGAUCUUUUGGAGGUGCUUAGGUCGUGUUAUAGAUCAAAUACAAGUUUCGGAUGUUUUAGUUUAACUUAGUCUUGAAUCUGUGGUAAUUUGAUGGUUUUGAUGUUUAUGAUCGUGUUUUUAUGUUACGAGCACGCUUGAAUAAAGUAAUAUAACAUAUUUUUGCUUUUGGUUGAGGUCCCGAGGGCCUGAGGGUCAUUUCGAACGGCUAACGAGAAUUUUUGUAGUUAAAAGUGCAGCAGAAAAAUUGCAGCAGACUUUUGUUCUAUGCGAUCGCAUGAUCAUCAUUGCGAUCGGAUAGAGGAAAGAAAGGGGGCUCAGAAUUUUAUCUAUGCGAUCGGGUAAGAGGGGAUGUGAUCACAUAGGUUGGGAAGGCUAUUCUAGGCGAUCGCAUAGGCUUGAGUGCGAUUGCAUAAGAGGAAAUUUAGGCUGUCAGAAAUUGUUCUAUGCGAUCGCAAUAAUGGUGAUGCGAUCGCAUAGAGGAAACCACUGGGCGGACACAAUGUAUUAAGGGUUAUUUCAGCCGCGACUUAAGCAUAUUUUCCUCCAUUGUUAACUAACCGAAGGAGCUAUUUGAAUCGUGUUUUCAACGGGUAUUGAUUGGAGGCAAGUCUCUUGACUUAAAAACACCAUUUUCAGGAAGAAUCAACCCUCAAUUCCAUGAUAUUGUGUAGAAAUUGUGAAGAACUAGGGCUUAGUUUUUAGAAAUGAAUUUUGGAGAUUUGAUAUGUCAUUCGAGCUCCAUUUUAACAAACAUUAUAUGUAAGGACUCGUGGCGAGACGAGGAAUCCAAAGAUGUAAUUUUCCGAAUUUUUCGAGAACUGGGCCUGGGGCUCGGGUUUUACCAACUUUGUGAUUUUUAGCAGUUUUAUAAUUAUUUAAAUUGGGUUAUGUUUAUUUAGCCUAUAAUAAUCUAUUCGUUGUGGUUUUGACUAGAUUCGAUGCUGGUAGAUGUAGAUUCAAAGGGAAAAGGCAUUACGGACCAAUCUACGACCUGUUAGAGGUGAGUAAUUUGUAUAGAUGAUGGCCUGAGGGUUUGAAACCCUGGCUUAUCACAUCGUGACGUUAUGUUAGGGCGUGACUUGCACCCCAUAGAAGGUGCGGGAUGGUAUAUGGUUGGGGAUGGUGACUUGGUCCAUCCCGAGAGAUGAAUAUAAAUUAUAAGCGGCUGAUAUGCAUAUUGUGUUGUUGAUAAUUGGGCUUAACGCCAUGCUUGGGGCCUUGUGCCAACCUGCAGUACCCAACUAGGGUAAAUAUCUAUGUGAUGACAUGAUUUGCAUAAUCAUUGAUCUCAGUCUUAUGCUUUAUCCCUGUAUUAAAUGGUAAGUUGCAUUAUUUCUGAAAUUGACUAAUUAAAUUAUACUCACCUUGAUAAUUGGAAACUGGAAAAGAAUCAGAUUGAAUCUGUUAUAUGACUUACAUGCAUACUUUGGACUCAGGAUGGCUCGGGCUGCACGCUGCAGCGGAUAUUAUUGAUAUUGUGCUUGGCCUGAAGGAGCCCCUCCAGAGUAUAUACACACCCCUAGUGAACGCCGGCGAUGAUAAAUAAAUAUGGAUGGCUCGGCUGCACGCCGCAGCGUAUUCAUAUGCAUUGCAUUGCAGUUUUUAUAUGAUACUUCACUGUUAUAUUUGACAUUGUUUUGCUGUUAGUUCUUAGCUAAGAAAAUAGGACUGUUAGAUUUAGCUUUGCUUUGUGGCACUUCGUGGAUUUCUUACUUUCAGACCUUUUUCUAUGCUUAUUAUUCACUGAGUCGGUAGUACUCAACCCUACUCCCUGCACCUUGUGUGCAGAUUCAGGUACACCAGAUUCUUACCUGACAUUAGUAGUCUCCAGACAUUUUCUAGAGUCGUUGAGGUAGGUGCUUGACGUUCAUAGGACCUGCCUGCUCUUCAUAUUCUAGUUUAUUAUUAUUAUUAUUAUUAUUAUUUACUUUUCCAAAUUUUUAUGUUCUCAUCCAGAUAUUAUUAUCUAAGGAUUCAGGUACACCGGAGCCUUAGCUGAUACUCAUAGUCUCCAGAGAUUUCUAGAGUCGUUGAGGUAGCUGCAUGACGUUCCCAGGACCUUGCUGCUCUUCAUUUUUCCAGUUUAUUAUUAUUACAUACAUUCCAGAUUUUAUUAUUUCCUUGCAGAUAUUAUUAUCCAGUUUUGUUUAAAGGCUCUAGACUCCUGACCCCAGAUCUUUGGGAGUGAUUAUUCAAAUUUUGUAAUAUUUUAUUAUUAUCGGAUAACUAUUCUAAAUUACUAUAAUAUUCUUAAACUGUCAAUUUUUAGACUCAGUAUUUAAUAGAAAGUGGUUGUUGGUCAGGCUUACCUGGGAUGGGUGCCAUCACAAUCGGGUUUGGGUCAUGACACUAAGAAAUAAAGAACGAAUUCCAUGCAAUGCUUUGCAACUCCCUCAAAUCGAGGUUUUAUUCAUAGCAUUAGUGCACGGGCUAUCAUCUCAUUUACUACCCAAUUACUAUAUUUAAGUUAAAACUUAAGAUCAGUGAUUGAUUCUAAAUUGUACCCUGCGCGUGCACUACCCCUCCCUUACCUAUGGUCCUGGAAGUAUUAGGACCUCUAUUUGGAAUGGUUCUAGACCAACCUAUGUUACUUGAAAAUGUGAAAUCUAGGAAACACACAAAAAACAAAUCGGACUUUCAGAUAAAGAGCAAGUACACAUAAGCAACAAAGCACGCAAUUGAACCAGCUAAUUUAUUAAAUUAGAAAUCUAAUAGGUAGGAUAUCUAUGCGAGAAAAUAGGGUAUAAAGGCCGUUUUAUUAAGGCCAGCAGAAAGACCUAUUUGUUUGCCUACUGAUUUUUUGUAUUUGGGCUUUCAGGAAGUAGUAUGUAAUAGUUUUAAACCCAGAAUCAUUAGUGAGUCCUGUGGAUACGUCGCCUAAGUGAUUUAAAAAAGCGCAUGAAUUCAGAAUAGACUAACAUGAUCCUCUAGGCAUAAUUGCUACAACUUUUUCAAUUACAGAUCUAUAGGCAUGAUUUCUAAGUGUACCGCUGAUUUUAACUCAUAGAGACAGUUUUAUUCCUUUUAUAUCCAAUAUGCAUGCUUUCUAAUUGCCGAAUUGAGUUAAACCUUUAUUGGCAUGACUUCUAAAUGGUGACUUGAUUUAAACCCGUUGAGGCAUGAUUUCUAAUUACAGACAUGAUUUUGCUCCACUACUAGCAUGAUUUCUAAGUUUCUGAACUGAUUUUACCCUAUUGGAAUGAUAUCUAUUAGUUUUAAAUCCUAUAAGCAUGAUUUAUAGGUUUGAAGCCGAUUUUUAUUCCAAUAGGAAUGAUAUCUAUUAAUCAUAUUUAGACAAAAAUUAACAGAUUGCCAGGAAGUAUAAUUGACUCAAACAAACAAGGUCCUAUAGGCAAGGUCACUAAUGCACAUUGAGUUGAAAAUAUAUGUAGAUCCUAUGAAUAUGAUUUCUAAUGCACAAUCAAACGUGAAGUCCUAUAAGCAGGGUUUCUAGCAUUCAAAUGAUCAUGAAAAAUCCUAUAGGCAUGAUCUCUAAACAUAGCACUGUAUCCACAUAACUAAAUCGGCAUAAUAAUGUCCUAUAGAGAGUAUUUCUAUCCAAAUUUAACAAAAGAUGUAAGAAUAGACCCCCAAGCUUUUACUAAUUUACCCCAAAUCUAUUACUACAAAUAUUAUUAUAGCCGAGAAAGAAUAAAUUAUAUAAUUGUAACAAUUACACUAUAGAGAGCCUAUGAAGUCCCAAUCUAAACCUGGGAACCAGGGCGUCAAACAUAACAGCUCUGAAUCAUAGCAGUGAUCUAUUCACAGGACAUUAAAACCAGGCUUCUCGUGUAUCAAAGUUCCCAAAGAACCUCAAGAACCCUGGGAAAUGCUCACACCAGAACCACAUAUUCAGCAAAGAGUUCAUAAAGAUUGGAAAAAUCAGCCCCAAUAUGUCAAAGUUUUAAAGGAAUCUCAAUGACCCUAGGCAAUGCUCACACUAGUGUCGUUAUAUGUCAGUAUAUGUGGAGUUUGGGGAUGUUCAUGUCGUUCAGAGAGAAGUACAAAGGUUCAUUAUAUAUCAAUUCAUCAACAAUGCAACAGAUAGAUGAUGUUGGGUUUGAAGCGAUCAAAGAUAUUUUUUGUGAUAAGGUUGGUAGAGACAGUUGUUAACUAAUAACAAGAAAGGUGUUCCGAGUGGAGAUCAAAGUUAUCAUAGAAAGUGAAGGAGAAAUUGACCUCAAGGCCAAAGCCAGUGGCAUAUGUCAUGGAAGAACAGUAAGCGCACUGAGUGGGCGGCAAUUGACGUUCUUUGAGAUUCAUGUGACUCAGAAAGGUUCGGUAUAUGCCAAUUUAUGAGCACAAAUGCAACAGAUAGAGCGCUUGGGUUUGAACAAAUCAGAGGUAUUUUAUGUGAUAUGGGUGAUAUAGAAAGUAAUUAGUCAAUAAAUAAGCAAGGCCUUUCGAGUUGAAAUUAAAGUUAUCAUGGGAAGUUAAGGAGCAAUCGCCUUCAAAGUCAAGGCCAGAAACCAACUACCAUGUUUAAACUUACAAGUUCUCUUUGUUUGAAACAGGGAUGAAGAAUAUGUCAAAAUCGAAGCUUCGAAGCUUGGAUUUUUCAAGUGUCUUGCCCAUAUUUUGUUAGAACAAAGAAGUUUUGAGAAGGGGAAAGAAAAUUUGAUUGGUAUGAAGGAACCCUCCAUGAGUAAACCAUGGUACAGGGGCAGGGAAUUUUGUUCGUUAUGCAGAUAUCCUCCAGGAAGAGAGCAUGGCUCGGGUAAGUUCAUUCACGCAUUUUUAGGACCAUCUUAGAUAAUGGGAUUUAAUUUAAAAUCUUCAGGGCUCUCCUAAUAUAGGGAUUUAAUUUGAAAAGUCUUCAGGCCCCGCCUGGAUAAUGCGCUUUAGUUAAAUUUUAAGACCUUCAAUGUUAACAAGAUUUACAGUAAGUUCUUCCAUUAGGAAACAUAAUUUAGCCUUAAAGUUUUCACUCUUAAGAAGAGAUUUAAUUUAAAAUUUUUAGUACCCUCCUGGAUAAUGGGAUUUACCAUUUAAAUUCUUAGAGAUUUUGGGUAACAUGAUUCGAUUAACACUCACAUAUGUGCCCAGAUACAAAACAAGGGCAGAAAAGUUUCUUAUGUUUUAUCAGUUUUGUUGUAAUCAGGUGCUCACCUAAAGAACAAGGGAAUACCAUUCAAGUUUUGGCGGUCAGGCGCCCACUUGGAAAACAAGGAAAAACUGUUAAUGUUUUGAAAAUCAGGCGCCCACCUAGAGAACAAGGGAAGACAGUUUAAGUUUUUGGCACUCAGACGCCCACCUGGAGAAUAAGGGAAUACAGUUCAAGUUUUGGAAAUGAGUCGCCCACCUGGAGAACAAGGAAAUUCAGUUCAAGUUUUGGCAAUCAGGCGCCCACCUGCCGAACAAGGGAAUACACUUAAAGUUUUGGAAAUAAAGCGUUCACUUGGAGAACAAGGGAAUACAAUUAAAGUUUUUGUAAUUAGACGCCCACAUGGAGAACAGGGAAAUACAGUUCAUGUUUUGGCAAUCAAGCGCCCACCUGGAGAACAAGGGAAUAUAGUUCAAGUUUCAGCAAUCAGGCGCCCACCUGUAGAACAAAGGAAUAUAGUUCGAGUUUUGGCAAUAAGGCGCCCACCUGGAGAACAAGGGAAUACAAUUCCAAUUUUGGCGAUCAGGCACCCACCUGGAGAACAAGGGAAUAUAGUUCAAUGUUUUUGUAAUGAGGCACCCACCUGGAGAUCG